ACACAAAUCAGUUUUUAUACGAACGAAUAAGUAAAUUGAAUUCACAACUUACAAAACACAACUGGAUGUAAUCAAAUCAUAUUGCAAGCAUGAACAUGGUUUCGAAUCACCCCCUAACUAAGAGGGGUUUAGUUCCUCAUACUCACAAAACAAAGAUUAUUGAAUUGAAACAUUGAAAACAAAAGAAAGAUUACACCUAAAACGUUCCAGCAAUCCUCAAUCGAAUGACAAGCACGUCCAAGGGCUUUCCUCCUUCCUCUUUGCUGCGGCACAAGGGUUGGUGGUGAGUUUUUGGGGUUAUGGGUGGUGUAAAAGUAUGAAAUGGUGUUUAGGAUGGUAGUAUGGUGCGGCUAGAAGUGUUUGGGGCAGAAACUAGGGUGAAUGGUGAAGUAUGGAUGUGGUAGAGAGUGGGGAUGGCUUUCUGGCGUGAAUGGGAGUGAAUGGAUGAUUUGUGGCUGGAAAAAUGAGGUUUAUUUAAAGGAUUUCAGGAAUUAAAACCCUAGGUUAUUUAGGUCAACAGGAAAUUAAGUCAAAAGCUUCUAGAAAUAGGAAAUCAAAUCAGAAAACUAAAGGAAAGUGCAAGGGAUAUGCGGCAAGGGCAUAGAACACAAAAGGAAUGUGUUUUAAUGCAAGGAAAUAGGAAAGAACCCUCUCCCUUGCACGGCAAGGAAGAGGAAAGGUGGGACAAGUGCGGCAAGGAAGUGGAUCAUGUAAGGAAUGUGUAAUUUGUGUCCUAGAAUGCUUAAAAGGCCUUCAAAGUUGCUAGAACAUAGGGACAGUUAGGAUUGAAGAAAUGUCAAACCAAAAUAGGAAACCUUGGCUUAACUUUCCUACUUCAAGUAGGAAUCCUUCUUAGAGUAGGAAUCCUCAUUCUUCUAGGAAUCCUCAUUUGAGUAGGAAUCCAUCUUCAAUUAGGAAUCCUUCGUUGAUUAGGAAUCCUUUCUUCUUCAAAUCUUCAAUUUCGUUCAUUCCUUUUGCUCCAAGCAUGUGAUCAUCAUUCCAAGCCCAAUUUUGCUCCAAAAGGCUCCAAAAUGCAUCUUCUUGCAUACUUUAUCCUUAGAAUCUGAAAACACACAAAAAUGACUUUAAACACUAAAAUAACUAAGGAAACACAACGUAAAUGCACGAGAACAAGCCAAUUAAGUCGCAUAAAUAUACUCCUAUCAAGAGAUACAAAAUUAGGGUUCAAAUAAAAUUUCCCAUUUUUAUUCAACUUCCUUAUUUUCUGCUUCAACAAAACUUGUGACCUUUUGAAUUCCCCUUAUUUCUCUCUUCAUAUACAAAUGCCAUGUCCAAUUGAACUUGUAUCCAAAUCCCUCAUUUUUCAAGAUUUCUCAAACCUCGUUUGUUGGAACUUCGUAUAUUUUCCUUCCCCUUCUAUGCAUUCAGUCGUUCACAGUGAAGACUGAGCUUUAAACUGUUCAUAAUGGCUCUUAGCACUCUGGAUGGCCUUCUGCAGGUCUACAUUCGCCUCCAUAGACGACUCUGCAAAGUUGCUCAACUUACCACAAAACCCCGCCAAGCUUAUUUGGAAAUGGUCGAAACCUGAAAUCCAGUCUUGAGAAACUUCAUCUGUUGGCAUAUUAGCACCAGAAUCACUACCAUUGGCAUGCUUCCAGGAUGUUAAAUCAGAUAGGCCUGCACCCUUCUCCUCUUUCUUUUCUUGGUGUGGUAAAAAACGGUAAGUUUCAGCUACUAAAGUCUUUAUAGAAUCUUCCACUUCUUUGGCAGGUAAACUGCCAAGCUUUUCCAACCAGUCACCACAGGUGACAUAUAUUGGAGGGCCAUAGUUCCUAUAGGGGAUUUCGUACGGCCUCCUUUUCUUUUUGGAAGACUUCUGUGGAAAAGAGAUGCAUUUUAAAAGCCAUCCGUCUAUAGACUGCAAGUAGGACUUUUGAGCACCAUUCCACUUCAUAAAACUUGAUGAUAGGGAGCUGAGUUCGUCUUUAAGCUGGAUCGUAAUCUGACGACGUGAUUCUGACUGUACGGAGAUUUUGGUGUUGCUGUUGUUGUAAGCUAUUGAGAUUAUGUGAAACUGAAGCUUGUGACAUACAACCAACCCCUCCCACAUCCGCCUUAACCUACAAUUUGGAGCAAAGAACAAGGCAAAUGAGCCUAGAAGUGAAGCACUCGUAUCAGACACAAUAAUAUAUAGGAUUAAGACAAAAAUUAAUCAUAUUAUUUCCUUGUUCUACAUUCCACUGUUGCCCAAAACAUAUAUGCAUCACGUAGUUUUUAGCAACCAUUAUCAAAGUUCCAACAUAACUCAUACUGGUCCUAACAAACAACGAUAAAAAUAAGAGAAAAAUGAACAUACAAAUACGCAAAGCUUUUUUUCUGCAUCUAGGCAUGGUACCACAUUUCAAACUUUAUGGGUUUCCAAAAUUGAGUUUCUAGGAAAAAUAAUUAAGCACUAGCAAAAAGGAACAUGCAAAUACAUACCCUAUUAACUCUUCAAGUUGAGGCUGGAGCUCUUUGUCUCGUAAAUCCUCAAUCCUCUUCGAUAUUGAGUCAAUUCUGUGAAUAGCAACCCCGAUUCUAGAAUGUAGAUCCUUGACAACAGCACGAGUUUUAUCAGUUAUUUGAGAACUCUGUCCUUUUGAUUCUAGCUGCCUUAAAAUCUUACACUUCAAGCCAUAAUCCCUUCUAACCAUCUCACUGGCCUGAAAAUAAGAAUUUAAGUUCAUAUAAAACAUGGGAUGACCCAUAUACUCUUCAUAUCCGAAAUAUGUUUUUUAAAGUGAGAGAAAUAUUUUUUUGUUUCAGACAUAACCAUACAAACAAGGUCCACAUCUAUCUGCAUAUAUCUGAAAUUUCUGAUAUUUUCGACAGUUCGAAGUCAAUUUAAAAUGGACCUAAUGGUAUUUCGUGUUCACUUGUUUUUUUAAAUUUUAACCAAGUAUAGAUUCCAUCAAAAAGAAUAAAAGGUAGAAACUGGCAUGUUAUAAGCAUCGUGAAAACAAAUACAAAGGUGAAGCCCCAAAAUUGAGCUCAGUUUCUACAACAGUAUCAAGCUGCUAGAAUACAAGUCACCAUUUUUCAGCAAUAAUUCAAAUAAUAACGUGAGAUUCAGUAACAUCAAACUGAACUUUAAGCUUCUACGAUAUUAAAAUGCGGUUACUGUCUGUAUCCAAUUCCUCCCAAAAGGUUGAACAAAACCAUAUGUAAGCAUAAGUAAGGUCAACAAAAAAUGGACACCAUAAUAUAAUUUAAACUAACGAGUUUGUUUAACUAUUUUGUGUAAUGAAAUUUCUAGAGAUCAAAGUGUAUCUAUUUUUUGUUCAUUUGAAGCAAAAAUAGUGGUUCACCAAAAAAAAGAGAGUAAUUUCCAUCAUGAUGAUUAUGAUUAUAAACACCAUAACUACUGCUAAUUUAUCAGUAGUACCUUGACUUCAUCAUAAAGCUUCCUCUCCCACGCAUAUAGCCUAUCCAAGGUUGAGGCAUGACUGCCUGAAUUCAUGCAGAAGUUGUCAAAGAGGUGACCAGUAAGAUCAUCCAUAUCAUCUUUUAAGUUUGCUCCCAAAGGAUUCCUUGACGAAGAGGAUCGAGAUGAUGUCGUCCUAUGCCAAGUUAAGUACUUCACAGAAGUUUGAGGAGCCUCUGGCAAACAUAAAAAAAGAAUCAGUUCAGAAAGCAAGGUACCAAGAUCAAGACACCCAAAUGAAAAGGCAGGCUAACAUUAAAACUUAAAACCUAUCAUGCAAUGAUGUGAAUUGACUCUAACCACUGAACAUCUAAAUGGUACUUUGUGUACCUACCACGUCACUCUCAACAGUGAUAAAUCAUAUAUGUACGUAUAGAUAAAAUAAAUCUAAUGAAAACACACAAUUUGUACUGAAGUUCCUCGUCCAAUUUUUCACAUAUUUGAGACAAAAGAAACUAAAUGAGGAAUGAAAGAUAAUGCACUAACAUAUUGAUGUUAACUUAUAUUUUCUGCAAAAUGUAAAUAUUGGGGGAUACCCCCACAAUGAGCUUCAUUUAUCGGAACCAUCUAUUAUUCAAUUCCUUCCUUCAGGGAUCAUCCCAGCAAACGUACAGUAGCACUCCAAUAAUAAAUAUAGCCUGAAAAGAACUAUUCCUAAACUCCAAAAAUACUGGCUGACAAAACGAAUUCUAUCUCACAGAAGAUCGACCACCUCCUCAACUCUAAAAGACUAGUUGCCAUUAGGAAUAGUAUUGGGAAAGAGUAUUAAGAAAAUUAUAAUGAUUGCAGUUAUAUUCUUCUAAAUACAACUUCUGUUCUAGCAUGUUGCCACACACUCAAACAUUUCGGGGAACUAAAUUUUAACUUCCCUAAGACUUUCUUGUUAUAUAAAUCUUUUGGUGGUUUACUCGUCGCUAAUGUAACUAACCAUGCCAUAGCAGUUUAUGGUAGUACAAUACUGGUUUUUCCCAGUUUUUGGUUGUGCACUACUAGUUUUUCCUGAGAAGUAUCGCCAACUUGUGCAUAACCAUGCCCAGUUGACUUGACAAAUAUGAUCCAAGUAUAAACCUGGAUAAACUAGUCAUGUACAUUAUCAUUACAUUGAAUCAUAACACUCAAAUAGAAGUGAAAGUGAAAUGCUUUCACAUGAAGUUGGCUAAAAUUGAUUUUGAUCACGUAGACAAGGAUUCCACAUAUUUCUAAUUUUUAAUAGAAAAAAAAAGGACAGACAUCAAUUGCAGUGUACAUUAAAGUAAUUACACAAUGGCAUCUUUGCAUCGGACGAUACAACAACCUUUGGAGAAAAAGGACAGACAUCAAACCCUAAUAAAUACACGUAGGAUAUCAACAAAAAAACAUCUAACAUCCAUAGUGUAUACAGCAGCCAUACUGAUUUGAAAAACUAACAGAAACCCCAUAAUAGCGUUUUUUGCACUAGACCGUGAAGGUUUAAAACCAAUGUGUCUGUCAUGCAUCUAUGACAUUAAAAAUUAAAAUAAAAAGGGUACAGACCAGGAGGCCUACCUUCCUGAACUUGACUUGGGUCUUCACCACAGGAGAAACAACCCUUCAAGAAUUUAGAUGAAAUUGAUCCACCUGCUACAGUAGAACUCCUAGUGUUCAUAUCUUCAGACUAUCAAAAGAAAACAGAUUUCUAAUGGUCUAUAAUAACAUGAAAUUAACUCAAAACAUUUUAGAAUAUCCAUUUCUUUUUUCAAUUUUAUAUGUCCCAUGAUUUAAAUACUGCAGUCUUCGUUACAUCCAGAAACUGUUGAUUGUAUUGUACCUUACUCACAGCAUAAAGCAGUGCCACUAGUCAUCCUUGGAUAACUAAAACAUACUUAAAGUGUUUUCAUAAAACGAGUGAGAGAGAGAGAGAGAGAGAGAGAGAGAUCUUACUUUCUUUUUCCGGGAAAAUUGGACGGAAAUGCAACUUAUUUGCUUCAAGCAUUCUAGGAAUUUCUUUGCCACACUCGAAAGCUCUUAUAAAGAGAAUUUCAAUAUCUUUCAUGCUUGAAAAAAAAUCUUUUGGGGCAGCCUUACUUUCAAUGCAAUCUUCUUAACUGUUUUUUUAGUUGAGUCAGUUUCAACUGCAACUGGUGAGGAUGUGGCUCUCAAUGGUGAAAAAUCAGGUGAGUUACUUUUCUCCCCAUUCAAUAACUCAGUUUCUGAAGUUACACUUCCUGCAGAAGGCAUUGUAGGUGAAGCACUAGCUUCAAUGUGAUCCUGCACUCUAUUAAGAUUUUCAAAACUUCGAACAAGGGUAUUUGUAGCAGGCUCAUCGAAUUCAUCUUCAGAAUCCUGAGAUUCUUCCCUUCCAUGAAAAGAAGCCUUCUCUUCUUCAUCUUCCAUAUCAGGAAUUCCCUCCUCUUCCCUAAGCUGUCUAUCAUCGUUAUUUUCAAACCCCUGGUUCAUUCCCUUCCCUUCUUGAAAAGAAAAUUGAUGGUCAAUUGGAUGGAAAAAAUCAAAGUAAUCCCACGGUGGAGUUUGAGGUGGGAGUGAAGAAGCUUCAAUUGGUGACGUUUCAGGUUUUCCAGCAGAUCGAGGUGUGGUAUUCUGUGGGGUGCUCGAGGAGGUUACUGUUGCAGUAAGGGGAAUAGGAGGUUUUUCUUCAACUGUUUUAGAAAAGCUGCCCUUCAUAUGAUUUGCCUGAAAUCGUGUAGAAUUUGGAGGAGAGGGAGAUGGAAAAAAGGUUUCAGCUGCAUCUAUGCGUUGUGACACAGAUGGAGAAGAAAAAGAGAAUUGAGAAAGACUCUUGCCAGUUUGAACAAGAAGCUCUGGCGUUGCACUAGUGGAAGUGUACAAGGAAGACUCAACGGGAGCCCCAAGAUCGACAAAUUUCCUAAGAGCUGUUCCAGUAUUCUUUAGUGAUUGAAUAUACAUAAAAUGAGCUGCUGCUAGCGAGCAUCUGCCGUCAAGUGCCAGUUUAACAAACUUCUUCCUUUCUCGACAUAGCUGCAGGGCCUUAUCUUCUUCUAUUUUAGAGUUUGAGGCUCCCAUAUCUAAAAAUCUGGCCUAAUAUCCCUCAAGUACAUAUCAGGACAUAAGAUUCUUCCUGAAACUGAAUUUAAUAGAUGUGUUAAACAACGAGAAACAAGUGCGAUGGUAAAUAUUCUACAAGAAAUCAAUAUCAUUAGACUUUAAAUUAGAGAUAUAAAAACAAACAAACUAAUUGCAGAACUCGUAACAAAUCAUACAGAUGAAAGAGGGUCACAACACAAGUGGCAAAUCUAAUUGCUAGAAAAACAAAUAUCCGGUGACAUUAUUAUUAAUCACAAGUUAAAGAUGUUCGAGAAGAGCCGCUUAGUACUACAGUCUAGUGGUAUUCCUCUUUACUUAUAAGUGAAAUGUCAUAGGUUCAAUUCUCGCCAAAGGAGAAUUUGAACCACAUUAUUGCUAGUCCACUGUGAGGCUUAGCCCACCUCCUCCCCCUAUAUUAAAUAAUAUCGUUUGUUCAAAAAUAUAAAAUAAAAUAAAAUAUUCAAGAAGAGAAUUCCAGAUGGCAACCCCAACGAGCAGAAACACAAAAUCUUAUCAGGGAUCAACAGAAUCAACAAGAAAUACACAAAAUCAUAUCAGGGAUCAAAUAACAAAAAGAAAAACUGAAUUUGUUAAAGCAAAUUAACAAAGAAAUACCAAAAUUAAAUUGUAAAAAUAACAAACUGUAUUAGGCUGCAAGUAAGUCACUGACCCUGCUUGUUUGUUGUUUUUCUCAAGUUGAGUGAUUGAAUUUUUGCAGCAAAGCAGAUCAAAUUCUUGUAAUUCAAGGGCCCUGAUUGAUUCCUGCAAGUUAUCAAAACACAAUCGGAGCCGGAGGCUCUGCAGUUUGAACAACACACAGACGGACGAUUAGAUUAGAAUAUAAACUCCAAACAAACAAACCCCAACAUCAACCUCACAAAUAAACCAACAAUCAAAGAACGUAAGAAUUUAGAGAGAGAGAGAGAGAGCGCGACCGACGUAUGAGAUGGCGAAGGAUUGGAGGCAUGCAAUUGCAAAAGGCAAGCGAUGAGUAGGGACCCCACUCUGUCCAACACUGACUCUGCUGCUUUCUCUUCCCUUCUUCUUUUUCUAUAAAAUUAACCUUUUUCGUUCUGCCUUGAAAAACAAUGUAAAGAAUAAAGAUAACCAAGAAGUUGAUUCCUAUUCGGUUUGCGUGAAAGCUAAGUCUAUGUCAAUUAACUGUUUUGACUUAGAUCGAUGUCGACGUCGACGACAGUUCGAAUUUAUUCGUUUUGAUUAAUGAGCAUUUAGUUAAUUCUAAUUAUAAACAAUUAAACCAUUUAAUUGUUCUUGUUCAAUUUUCUUACUUUUUUGAUCUCCCUUUUACAUGGUGUACUAUUCAUUGAGUUCUAAUUAGCUAGGGAAUGGGCAAAUAGAACUAUUGCUAAUCGAUUGUAAAUUGAAUCUUACUUUCAAUCUCCCUUUUAAUGAAGAUAAGUGAUUGCUAAUCUUUAGAGUUUCCAUAAGUCAUGAGUGAUACAUAGCAAUAUGUCAUAACUACUCAAGAUAAGCAGAAGAUGUGGAGAAUCUGUUCAGUUUGGGAUUACAAUGCAAUACGAUCAUUCUCUAUAUCAAUACUUUUGAUCACAUUGUUUGGUUGAUAGCUUAUUCAUGUCUAUAUCAGUACUCGAGCCUCUGAAGAGAAUACAUAGUAUGUACUGAUCUAUUCGAUUUGUCAAUGCCCAACUGGCAAUCAUAUAAUCAGGAACAUACAACCAACUAUGGCCACAACAGAAGAAUAAUUCAUCCCCCUUCAAACGUGACACACCUUGUAUAAAAAAAAAAGAGCCACAAAUUACUUUUUUCUUGUGUUUGAUGGGUCAUUGAGCAUAUAUUCGUAAAAAACGUCUAUCACUCUCGAAUUUCUAGCGGUCACAUGAGUGUUACUCUUUUGGGUCGGCUGGCACACGAUCAGCAUUUUCAUUUGUCUCAGUAACAUCACCGACAAGAGCAUUUGGCGUCGCCUCUGUGUGUUCUUCGGUAACAUCCCGUAUACAUUGGUGUUGAAUGUAGUGUCAAAUAUAAUCACAUCAUCAAAAUGACCAUAACCACUUCGUGACUUAGCAUUCGCCUAAAAGAAAUUGCCAAGUACUCCGCCUUCGUCAAUCUCCAUCAUCAAAACCCAAAUGGAAUGAAAAUGGGUAAACUAACGACACAAAACUCACCAUCACAAUCUGCGUUUCUUCAAAGAUUCUAGACGAACUAACACGCCCCAAUCCCGAUAUUCCCCGAUGACUUAGCAUUCGCCUAAAAGAAAUUGCCAAGUACUCUGCCUUCGUCAAUCUCCAUCAUCAAAACCCAAAUGGAAUGAAAAUGGGUUAACUAACAACACAAAACUCACCAUCACAAUCUGGGUUUCUUCAGAGAUUCUAGACGAAUUGACACGCCCUAAUCCUAAUAUUCCCCGAACACCAGGAUAGGCACGUGCUGGCAAACACCCGAGGGUGACGAAAACCAUUUAUUGAAUGCAAAUGCUAAGAACAAGGAAUAAAUAAGACUUCUAAAUAUAAAAAUAAUAAAUAUACAUUUUAGGAACGUGUUCAGAGCACACAUCUAAUCUAGAAUACUAAAAGAAUUUAUAUAAAAAUUGAAUGAAAAAAGGAGUGGGUCCUACAUUGAGAGGACUCGAAUAUGCCAAUGCGGAAGUGCCUGGAUGCCAAGAUUGUAUACCUCGAUUCUAAGUCCUGAAGGGGGCGCAAAACAAACAUGAGUAGACCAAGUUGAUAUAUAUAUAUAUAUAUACACACACACUAAAAUAGUUAUAAACGUACUAACCUCCAGGUUUUAUGAAAACACAUAUAUAUCAUGAUAAACAUAGGUUUUCCGAAACCUAGCAUGUCGUGCAAUGUCUCAAAUCAUAACUUGUAUGUAUAAUAAUCACUAGUGAAUGUCCGAUAACUCUCCAUGCCCCAUGCCGGCUCCCCGUCUCUGAGCAAACAGUUAGAGGAAAAAACACUUCAGGCCCUAUGCCAACACCAUAAUCGUCGCCCAAGAUGGACCGGAAUCUAUCCUUUCAUCCCGUAGCGGAAUACGGACCACUAGGUAAGUACAAAACCAUUGAACAUAUAUACAUUUGAAAAGCAACUUCAUAGUAUAAAGUCAUUCAUCAUCUAUACUAUAAAGAGGUGUUCUAAACGUGUUCUAAAUAUUAUAUCGUCAUCCAUCAGAUAUUCUAUAAGAACACGAGUUAUAGAAAAAAUAGUAAUAAUUCAAAUUAGCCUCAAUAAGCAUGUUAUCUCACAAAACAUUUCAUAAAACAUAAUCAUCAAAUCAUGCUUUUCAUGUAUGCAUUUCUACUAUUAAAACAUGCAUUUUUAGAAGGGGUCCACUCACAGAUACUUAGCCACCGAAGAGCCAUGCAAACUAGCAAACACGGAAACGCCACAAUAAUUGCCCCUAAGCACAUAAAGGGUCCAAUUAAUACAACUAUAUUAUAACAAUUGAAUUUGGGAAAACGGAUGUUGGAAACGGAUUCAGGACGCCAAAAUUAGCCUAGGAGGGGUUCUAGGUUAAGGGUUUUGGACUUGGGUUAGGGUAAGGCCGCGAAGGCCUGGGAGGUUUCUUAGGCUGGGUUUCACGCCAGAGAGGAAGGCCGGAGUUUCGGCCGGAAAUUAGACAUUUUAAACGCCUAUAACAUUGUCAAUACUCAACGAAAUCUAGUGAUUCAAAAACGAAAAUCAUAGCUCUCGAUGAGACUAAGAGAAUAUUACCUCGCACGAUGUCUAACUCGUCAUGGUUUAGCCAAAAAACGCCUCGAAAGCUGUGGAGGUCACCGAGAAUUGGGUAAGAUUCAAAUGGAUAUAACUUCUUCAAUACUCAACGAAAUUGGGUGAAACAAAAAGGGAAGUUGUAGUACUCAGCAAGACGAAGAUAUUGAUACCUUGCACGUUGGCCAACUCGUCGUGGUUUGGCAGGAAAUUAGCUUGAAAGCCGUUGGACUCGCCGGUAAAACUAGGAAAAUACCACUGAGUUGUUUCUUACUACAAACCUUCACCAAAGCACCUAAAAUGAGUCCUUACUAGGGUUUGAACAAUCUAAAAGAAAUAUUAGAGAGAGUUCCGAAGCUUACUAAGGUCGAGGGAUGAGAAAUCUCGUAUGAGUAGAACUCCAAAUAGUGGGGGGACCACUGUGCAAAGAAAGAGAAUGAGAGAGAGAUAGAGAGAGAGAGAGAGAGCAUGGCACGGUGGUGUGGUGGUGUCCUCGUCGAAGUCUCCUUGGGUAUGGGGUAACUGGGUGUGUGUGUGUGAGUUCAGGGAAGAGGGAAUGAGAGAGUUGCAGAAAGUCAAGAGGGAGAGAUAAGGGAGAGUAAGAGCUGAAGGAGAGAAAGAGAGUUACAAAAAAAUCAGAAAAAGAAAGAAAAAGGGAAAGGAACCGGGGGACAAAUCAGGGGGUGGGCCCCUUGGGCUCACCAAUUAAUAACCAAAACAAUUUUUUAAAAUAAAAACCAAAACUAUUUUUAAAAUCGGGGGUGGGGUGUAACAAUCUACCCCCCCUUAAAAGAAUUUCAUCCAUGAAAUUUAAAAUCACUUACUAAACUGAAAUACUCGAAAAUAGGAAGAAGAAUAUAUGUAUAAAGAGUAAUUAAGUCAGAGUGGGGGCAUCAAAGAGAAUAUGUCACACCGUCGCGAGCGGGUUGCAAAAUCCUCUAUAAUGCCUCUAAGCUUUUACUUUCUUCCGCAUCAGUGUAAAAGUACAAAACAUACUUUAUAAAGAUAUAAAGUAAAAUACGAUAACACCAAAAUAAAUAAGUACUAACAUAUAGGUCGAAAAUUCGUGCUGAACUUAAAAUUGAAAACGGAAAUACUUCCCCCAAAACAUUUUUAAUGACAAAACAAAUAACUAAAGUAAAGGAAGUUAAAAUACUCAUACUGAAAACCAAAACUGGAAAAUGAGAGUGGGUCUCUCCUAAGCAUACGAAACAUCACGUACUUUGAGAACAGAUGUGUCUUUGGGUCGAGCCCCAAUAAUAACAAAUCCGUAACAACUACUGAAGACGAGUCUUCUUGCCCACUUGCUUAAUGAACCCAACGAAUAAGUUAUUAAUACCAUAGUCGGCCACCCGCAAUAUCGACCACACAUUUGUUGUCUCGAUAAGCAAGCAGUAAUUUUCUGAGGGUGCACAAUUUCACACAUCAUAAAUUCGAUCCUCUGAAUACCAAUUCACAAUACUCCCCUGUCAACCAGUGUUGCAUAUAGAAAACUCUCGUACCAUGUCGCAAAAAGCCCCAUACUCAAACCGAACAAAAUAGAAUUUGUCAUCAUAAAACACUAUCCAACACUAAGGAUCAUAUUCACCUCCGUUCUUCCAAAUUUCACCAUUAAAGAAUCCAUUUGAAAACGGUAUCUUGGGAUUCAAGAGAAGUGGCUACCAUGUUAGUAGUAUACCCAAAAGCUCAAGCCAAGUAAGUAGAAAAUGAGAAGUCACUUUCCUUAACAAGCAGUAUCUCUAGAGAGCUGUUGUAGUGCUCAAACCACCUCUCCAUUUUUGCUUAGGUGCAGAUUUCUAGUCAAACACGGUCAAUGUUGGUGGAAAGAAUAAGGAUUCACAAGUGAUCAUCCUAAAAACCCAAUGAGAGCACACACCUUUCAAGAGAAAUGUAAAGAUUAUCCGAUUCUCGCCUCGACCGUGCUGUAGUGCCAUCCCAGAGUGCACCAAAAAGAUCUGCUUGAAGUGUUUUGACAACCACGUACUCACAAACAAAAUAGUCCUGAAGUGAAGCAGUGAAAAUUUGCGUUGAGACAAACGCAUAACGUUGGAAGAGAAACGAUGCGAUGCCUAUAAAUUAUAGCAUGAUGGUGAUACAAUCUGCUGACCUUCUACAUUACAACCUUCAUUCAACUCUUACCAAAAGACGGCUCAACCUCACGCCUACAUGGAACUCUUUCUGGUAAGUCUGGUCAGCUUGUGAAAAGAUUAUGCUCCUAACAUUCUCGUCCAAAUCGAUAAGAAUUGGGCGCAUACUUCCGUCAAAUCGAUCGAUCAUGAAUUCCUCACCAAUUGAGCGAGAAACCAUAUCGAGAAGGCUGCAAAAACACUCAGGAAUUUGAGGGUCAAAACAAGUCCAUUAGAAUCUAGAGUACAAGAUAUUGGGAUUUGAACUAGAAACCAUGCCAAGAACAAACUUUUUUUAUUUUUUUAUUUUUUUUAUUUUUUUUAUUUUUACGGCAUGAUCCAGUUUUACAUUGAGAAACAAACAAGCAAAGGAAGGUAAAGAUGUAGAAAUAGAAGUCACUAAUUAUGAUUAUUUGGUUAAUCAUCACAAUAAGGUUGACUGGUUCCUUAGCCAAAAAGGAAAUAGUCUAAGCUCAAAGAAUAGUUAAGAACUGCUAAUAAGAUUUGAUGAUGCCAAAGACAUUUCAUAAUUCACAAUACUUUGUGAGAGCUAAUUCAAAGUUCAAAAAUUAAAGCAGUCUGCGUAUGCAUGUAGUGACAUGAUUGGCUACCUUAAAGUGAUGCUCUUGAGCAAACCAAAGCUCAAUGAGUCCAGAGAAGUUCAGAGUAAAGUUCGAUCUUUGUACUGUGAUGAAUAUGGUGGAGUCUCAAGCCAUUACACUAAAAAUUACAAGGUUGUUGGACAAGAGCACUGGUCAAUUGAGCUACAAGCAAGAGGCUAAGUUCACCUCUAUCGAAAAGUACGAGGACAAGGAGUUAGGGUUUACCGUCGAGUACCAUACCCAGAUGAAGUUCAAGGAGUUUGUUUAUCCAAACAAGUCUGGAUCUUCAUCAUCCAAGUCCAAUUACCACAAUAACAAGAAUCGCAACUCCAUUUUGGGAAAUUGAUGAGAAUAUCGUCUGCUACCAAGAAGUUUCUCAAGAAAAGUAUUUAAUGUAAACGAAGUCAAUGUAAACGAAGUCAACACACGAAGAAUUUGGUGUGAAGCUGACGAUUGAAGGUUAGGUAACUUGACUUCGUCGAUGGAGUAGGCGAGAAGGAUAUCGAUAGAACAAUCAUUGAGAAUUGCACUAAAGAUCCACACGAAUUUCUUCAGUGGUAAUGAGUCUGAGAACAUCGAUUCGAUCCCACCAAUUAUCACUUAUUAAAUGUCAUAACAACUAGCGCUUUCUUGCUUCCUCAAUACGCAUUUCAAAAGUUUCGAGUAAUUUCCAAAUAUGUACGACUCUGCUCCCCAUUCCUAGGGAACGUAUGUCGCAGAGUACAACAUCGCUUCAGAUCUUCCAAAUCCAAACCAUUUUGGUUUUUCCGUUUCCUAACGCUCUUAUGUAGAUCCACUCCGCCUACAAUUCCUAAGGAACACAUGUUACGGAGUAUCGGUCCGAUGUUGAAAGUCGUCCAACAAAUCAAACACGUCACCGAUGAGGCAUAAUCGUGACACAAAUUUCAUGUAUUUCAACCAGAAGGUGACAAUUCAAACAGAGAAAGAUUUGCACAACUGUGCCGAAUGACACCAAAUCCGAAAGUCGUGACAUCCAAAUGAUGUCAAAACCGACACACUAUUAGAGUAAGAGAAGAUCCAAAGUAUGCUCUGAACAAACCACGCUCUGAUACCAAUCUGACACACCCCGAUCCCGAUAUUCCCCGAACACCAGGAUAGGCACGUGCUGGCCGACACCCGAGGGUGACGAAAGCCAUUUAUUGAAUACAAAUGCUGAGAACAAGGAAUGAAUAAGACUUAUAAAUAUAAAAAUAAUGAAUAUGCAUUCCAGAAACGUGUUCAGAGCACACAUCUAAUCUAGAAUACUAAAAGAAUUUAUAUAAAAAUUGAAUGAACAAAGGAGUGGGUCCUACACCGAGAGGACUCGAAGAUGCCGAUGUGGAAGUGCCUAGACGCCGGGAUUGUAUGCCUCGAUUCUAAGUCCUGAAGGGGGCACAAAACAAACAUGAGUGGAUCAAGUUUAUAUAUAUAUACUAAAAUAGUUAUAAAUGUACUAACCCCCAGGUUUUAUGAAAACACAUAUAUAUCAUGAUAAACAUAGGUUUUCCGAAACCUAGCAUGAUGUGCAAUGUCUCAAAUCAUAAAUUGUAUUACUAGUGAAUGUCUAAUAACUCUCCAGGCCCCAUGCCGGCUCCCCGUCUAUGAGCAAACAGUCAGAGGAAAAACACUUUAGGCCCUAUGCCAACACCAUAACCGUCGCCCGGGACAGACCUGAAUCUAUCCCUUCAUCCCGUAGCGGAAUACGAAUCACUAGGGAAGUACAAAACCAUUGAACAUAUAUACAUUUGAAAAGCAACUUCAUAGUAUAAAGUCAUCCAUCAUCUGUACUAUAAAGAGGUGUUCUAAACGUGUUCUAAAUAUUAUAUCGUCAUCCAUCAAAUAUUCUAUAAGAACACAGGUUAUAGAAUAAAUAGUAAUAAUUUAAACUAGCCUCAAUAAGCAUGUUAUCUCACAAAACAUUUCAUAAAACGUGAUCAUCAAAUCAUGUUUUUCAUGUAUGCAUUUCUACUAUUAAAACAUGCAUUUUUAGAAGGGGUCCACUCAUAGAUAUUUAGCCGCCGAAGAGCCACGCAACUAGCGAACACGGAAACGCCACAAUAAUUGCCCCUAAGCACAUAAAGGGUCCAAUUAAUACAACUAUAUUAUAACAAUUGAAUUUGGGAAAACGGACAUCGGAAACGGAUUCAAGACGCCAAAAUUAGCCUAGGAGGGGUUUCGAGUUAAGGGUUUUGGACUUGGGUUAGGGUUAGGGUUAGUGGGUUUAAGGGGUUUAAAGUCACGGGCCUAAGGACUUCCAAAUGGCCUAAGGGCCUUUAGCCAACAGGGGUUUUGGGGUUUUAAGAGAAAAGGGCUUAGGGCCCUAACAGACACGGUCCAAAGGCCUUUAAUUUAAAUAAAAUAAAACUAAACUAAAAAGAAAAGGUUUGGGCCUUGGUUUUUAAACUAAAAGGGUUUAGGGCUUUAACAUAUAAGGCCCAAAGGCCUUUAAAACAAAAAAUAAAUAAACAGAAAAAUAAAAAGGGUUUGGUUGGGCUUGGCAGGAAUGGCCCGAAGGCUUGGGAGGUUUCUUGGGCUAGGUUUCAUGCCAGAGUUUCGGCCAUAAAUUAGACACUUUAAACGCCCAUAAUUUUGUCAAUACUCAACGAAAUCGAGUGAUUCAGCGAAGAGAAUGGUACCUUGCACGACGUCUAACUUGUCGUGGUUUGGCCAGAAAACUCCUCGAAAGCUGUAAAGGUCGCCGAAAACUGGGUAAGAUUCAAAUGGAUAUAACUUCUUCAAUACUUAACGAAAUUGGGUGAAACAAAAAGGAAUGUUGUAGUACUCAGCGAGACGAAGAGAUUGAUACCUUGCACACCGGCCAACUCACCGUGGUUUGGCCGGAAAUUAGCUCGAAAGUCGUUGGACUCGUUGGUAAAACUGGGAAAACACCACCGAGUUGUUUCUUACUACAAACCUUCACCAAAGCACCUAAAAUGAGUCCUUACUAGGGUUUGAACAAUCUAAGAGAAAGAUUAGAGAGGAUUCCGAAGCUUACUAAGGUCGAGGGAUGAGAAAUCUCGUCGGAGUCAAACUCCAAACAGUGGGGGUACCACUGUGCAGAGAAAGAGAAUGAGAGAGAGAGAGAGAGAGAGAGCGUGGCACGGUGAUGUGGUGGUGUCCUCAUCGAAGUCUCCUUGGGUGUGGGGUAACUGGGUGUGUGUGUGAGUUCGGGGAAGAGGGAAGGAAAGAGUUGCAGAAAGUCGAGAGGGAGAGAGAAGGGAGAGUGAGAGUGAGAGCUGAAGGAGAGAAAGAGAGUUAAAAAAAAUCAGAAAAAUAGAAAAAAGAGAAAGGAACCGGGGGACAAAUCAAGGGGUGGGCCCCUUGGGCUCACCAAUUAAUAACCAAAACAAUUUUUUAAAAUAAAAACCAAAACUAUUUUUAAAAUCGGGGGUGGGGGUUUAACACGAACCACCUUUGUGAACUCCAAUCCAAGCAGAGCUUCAACCAACCCUAAUCUCUCUUUCUCUGCCUCUCUUUACCUACGAAUACAACCCUAAUCUCUCCCUCCCCCUCCGCCAAAAACACACCCAGUGAACGAAUUUUUUUUCAAGGUAUAUGAUUAAUGGGUCACAAUUGAAACAAAGGUUCAAUCUAAUUGAAAUCGAUUCCUCACACCACCUCCCUCUUUCUCCCUCCUGAACGCACGAAGAAUUCCUCAGCGCCCCCUUUCUCCCCGACAAAAACAUACCCACUAAAUAAAAAAAUAUAAAAAUUUUGAAUUGCACAAGGUCACAACAACCCGGAUUUACACAUGGGCUCGAUAGAUCACGACCGUCCGGACGCAAAGUUCGCAACGCCCUUCCAGUUGAUCAUCCACCAGGUUCCCAGAGGCAGGGACACUUUGACUUCACUUAAAUUUUUAAACACCCAUAAAUAUAUGAAGAAAAUCAGAUAACAAUAAAAAAAAAAAAAAAAAAUUAUAAGAUGCAGGGGACAAAAGCAAAAUUCAAUUUUAGUCUCUUAUUGGUCAAUUUUCCCAAGGUCUAAACUACAACUUCCGUUUCUUAUGGGUUUCUUUUUUCAUCUCUCUUGUAUUUUUCUAAACAAAAUUCUUCUUUCCUAUGUACAAGUUGCAAUCCAGAGGGCAGAAAUGACAGAAAAAAACAGAGGCACCCUUCUCAGGCUUGCAGAUAACUCCAAUAAAAGAUAGAGCCAGGAGCCAGAAAAUCCCUGAGCAAAAAACUGAGCAGCCGGCGGCCCUCCCUCACAAGGCGUAAAACCCAUUUAACACAACGUACGGAAAUCGUCUCCUUUCUUUGCCUCCAAACCAGAAGCUGCAAACUGACUGACUGACAGAAUUGGAUUGAUUAUAGGCAUUACUUACUAGUAACUACUGGCUACUAAUGACUCCUCUCUUCAUGGCAGUGGCUCUCUUUGGCACGGAAGUCCUCCAAGCGACAGUAUACUUCCCUGAGCAACCGAUCCAAUUCCGAAUGUUUCAUUAGAGACUCUUUCUGAUCCCCUUGUUGACGAUAAUGAUGAAAAGCCCUGCAACAUGCACAAGGAAUUCAAGUUUAUACAAAGCCAUUUACAUGCAAAGAUUGGAUGACAUGAGGAUUACUACCAGAUUGUCUAAAACUCAAAACAGUAAUCAGUUCAACCAAGUGAUACAUGAAAUUUACCUAAUAAACAUCUUCAACUCUAUGACCUCUAAACGAGAAUAAAUGUCAUUUAGUAUUCAUAAUUUAGUUUAGCUUUGUUAAAUGAACUUAUCAUACAUAUAGGUGAACGUGGGCCUUCCGUAUAUCCUCCAAACUAAAGGUCGUAUUCUUUUGUAUCAUUGCCAAUUUCUGCAAAAUACCUACAAUAGGCUUUAAGUAAUAAAUUCUAAUCAGACACCCUGGUCACAUCCAUACUACCUCAUAGAUUGCUUCAAUAUGGUAUGUUGUAUUCGAGGAUAGUAAAACCCGGACAGUAUUGAUCUCAGCCACUAGUUCAAAUAAUUCAUCCUAUUAGGCUACUAGCCACUGGCCUAGCUUCAUAGCUCUCAACGAAACCGUCUACCUUCUGCGUCACCGUAAAUCCAACUAUCAGAAUGAGAAAAUGCAUUGGGAAUCAAGUAUCAAUAACAUCCAUAUCCGUGACAUGGGAUUUUCUAUGGUGCUCCAGACUUGUUACCAUUAGAUCUUUGAUAAAUACCACAAAAAUCAAGAUCUAACGGUUAAGAAGCCUGAAGUAUCUGAAACUUGGGAGAACCAUAAAAAUUUUGCAGUAACCUACAUACUUAACGGAAGAGGGAUCCAAAAAACCCCAGUGUGGGACAUGGAUAUAGUAGCAAAACCCAAACACCUUAUAGGGAAUACAGAGGGGAAUAAAAGGGAUUGGGCUAAGAACCAGAAAAGGGAUAUAAAACUAAGGAAAUUUCGAUGACAUUCGAUUCAUAAGACAUGCACUUGGGAGUACAUUACACUAGAAGGAUGGGAAAACAUAAAUAUGAAAGAAUAAUGAAUAUACACCAAAAAAUAGCCCUCCUACUUAAAAUUAUUGGAGAAAACAAUUUAAUUUAGAAGAGACAAAAUAGUAAAUUAAUAUUAUUUUAAAUAAAAAAUUCAAAACAAACAACCCCACACGUACAUGAGUAGUUGUCAGAAUUAACCGGCCAUCUGGGUUAUUGAAAUACAUGAUGUAGUAGAUAUUCAGCAAAUAAACGACACCUUGUGGCGUUAGAGUCCUCAGCCAGCCAGUUGAAGGUUGAGUCUCGGAGUGAUGGUAUAGGCUUAGGGUCGGUACAAAAUGAAAUUCCAAGGCAAAAAAAAUUUCAAUAAUUGGCAGAAAUGAUAGGGAGGAAAGGCAGCACCCAGUGAACUAUUACAUCUAAACCAAGCCAUAAGGUAAACCCUAAACUACCUUCACUAAACUCCGGUCUAAUACCAAGCUAGGAUGGUGAAAACCCCCGUUUUCUGUAUCCUUCUCCAUCUUGGACGAAUUUAUACAAGUAAUGCAUAUACAAAUUAUGAAAGAAUCAACAUAACUCUUCUCAUCACAUUAUAGCCUAAUUACAAAUUUAGGAAACCAAUAUUCUACGGCACAAGGGUUCAAGAAAUUAAUCAAAAUCCUAUCAACUGUAAUAGAACACCAUGGUCAAAUUUCAACUAGAAAAUUUAAUUUUUAGGUAUUUAUUUAUUUGGUUUUAUUUUUGUAAAGAAGCUAAGAAAAAGCAGCCUCAUAAAGAAACAGGAAAAAUAAUUACCAAUAUUUUUCCAGGCCAUAGAGAUUGCCUUUAUGGUAAAAGUCAAGAGUGAGCUGUUCAAAGUCCUUGUACAAGUCCUCUCUAAAAUCUUUCUCCAAACCAUAACUGAAACAAGAAACAAGAAUACGCACACGCGCACCCGCCCACACACACACAUUAGUAUUAUAUAACUGAAAACACAAGUAAAGCUGAAAAUUCAAGAGGGGAUUGCAAAUAUGACUAAAAUGGGAAACGACCACAAUUUUCUCACUAACCUAUAGAACCUGAAGAGGCACUCUACUCCAUAAUUAUAACCAGCAGUAGCAUCUUCAAGUGCAUAAUUUCGGAACUCAUCAUACAUUGAAGAGUUGAACAUGUUUCUAAGAAAAUAACACCAAAAUCUAUACAGAGUAUUCAUUUCCUGCAUGGGAAGAAACAAGGCACACAUUUCACUGUAAAUAACUGUGAAUCAUGAAACUGGAAUUUUUUAUAUGGACAUUGAAAAAAGACGAUGCAUAAAAACCGGAUAAUUUUAUGUUAGACAAAAUGGCAUAACGAAGAGACGUGAAAGUCCCAUUUGUAUACUUCGGGCAUGGACCAACAAAUCUAGUGCAUCCAAAUGUGAUGCAAAAAGUCAUCAGUUUCUGAUACUACAAAUAUAAAGCAUUAUAGAUAAAAUACGAACCCCACAAAUCCAGACCUUUAUCCACCAUAUUUAAUACUGUAUAUUUAUUUUAACUGCCUAAUAUAUAAUUGCAAUAGAAACAGUUGUCACAUACUCAUACAAGCAUAAAUAUGCAACAAUUAAGUGGAUGUGGGUUCCAAAUUUCGAUGAGUAUAUUCAAUAAAUCAAUUUAGAAAAUCAUUCAAGAACAGAGGAUAAAGAUAUAAAACUUGUGGGAUUAAGUUCAUAAGAAAAGGAAAUCAAAAUCAGGCAAUUUGAUCACAAAUUAAAGCUUUCAACCCAUGGAAAAAAAUGCAAUUAAUAUGACACUAGGAGUUCAGAUAAAAGACCACCUCACUGCAACCAAUUCCCAACUUCUUCCUGUCAUUUAGGCACCGGUUAUGAUACUUGAGGUACCUAACAGGAAGGGCAGCCAUGUAAGUAAACAAAAUUACUCUCUCUCUCUCUCUCUCUCUCUCUCUCUCUCUCUCUAUAUAUAUAUAUAUAUAUAUAUAUGUACACACACACACACACAUCAAUAUAUCUCUAUCUCUCGCUCUCUACCUAUCACACAUGCACAAGAGCAUCAAAAUUACAUCCCUUACUUCUGCUGUUUAAAACCAUUUUCUUCCAGAAGCUGAUGACUUGGGUGCUGAAACGGUGGAAAUGACUUUGGCACAGAACCCACCGGUGGACUACUGCCUGAGAGAAACCCAUGAGGGGAAACUCUCACUUUUGAAGAUCUUGGUCUGUAAAAUAAAAAAUUUAUAUUUGGAUUAGCUUCUUGGAAUGAUAAGAGCUAAUAUGCUUAGACAUCACAUUAGCUUAGCCCUUGAUUCUAAGUUUUAUUAAUUACAAUUACUCAUCCCAAAAGCAAGAACAACAAACUUCUAAAUCACUAAAGAAUUGCUCUGCUGAAGAAACAAAUCCAAAACCAAAUUCCAUCCAUUUCAACUAACCCAUGAGUUUCAGGAGGCGUGGAACUAAAGAAAAAGCCAACAGAGUGACUUGGUGGACUUUCUGAUAUGAUUCCUAGAUUGUUCCAACCAGUUCCAUAAUUUUUGAAGUUGCUUGAGAAGAAUCGCUGUCUAUGGGACGGCUGCUGAUUUUGGGAGAGUCUAUUUUGCUUCUUCCGUGCAUUAACACUUCCAGACUCUUCAAUGCCAUUACUACUGCCAGAUAUUUCGCUGGGCUUUAAUUUUGAAAAGACUUUGGAAACGCUUGAAAAUCUUGAGUUUGCAUCUCUAUUUUCAUGGCUGGUGCUGUACUUUUUAUGGUUUGGUCGCUUGGUUUUCAGUUCCUGCUAAUUGAAUAUAUGUUAGGAGCCAGGUUAGUGCAGCAUAGUAAUUAACAAACUCCAUAGGAAUAUUCCCAACCUGCUCAUAGAAGUAAAGCCCAUCGUUUAUAGCAGACGCUAGCUCAUUGGAAAUGGUUUUUGAUUCUUUAUCAUCAUGUUUUGAUCCUUUACCUACUCUACUAUUCUGCACAGAAAACAAAGAAAUGACUACUUAUCAAAAUGCUACAGACAUGAAAUUAAAGUCUCAUUUAACUGCAAAAACUAAUCAAAGAAAAGUAUAAAAAUAUCAAAGGACCUUUCCUUGCUAAAAACAUAGUUUCAAGACACUUUUUGUUACUUAGUGGCAUACCUGGGUGACAAUUACAAGUCUCUGUACGUCCUGAUCAUUGACUAGAAUCUCAUCAUCUUCAUCAUCAAUCCUUGGGCCAACACUGUCAUAUGAAAACAUACAACAAGUAGUAAGCUCAUAUGCAUAUUCAACCGCAUGACAUAGUAUUGUAACGCUACUGAAGCAAGAAUGCCUAGCCAGGAUAAGCCUGAAUUCUUAGCCUCCAAUUUAAAGAGAAAGCUCAAGUUCAACGACCAGUUUUAGUCCACCAACAAAGAAAGAAAGAAAUAAGCGAGGGAAAUAUAUGAGCACUCGCACAGAGCCAUGUGAAUGCAGAUCACAAGGCUUCCAACACAAUUUUUCAAAAUACAAUAAAAACACUACUAAAAAAAUGCCACCUACUGUGAAAAUGAAUCUCACCCAACGUAUUAAAAGUGUGAGGUGUGGGCGAGGCGUCCAAGGGAUAGCCUCGCCUAGGCGUGAGGCGAAGCCUCACAGGACCUAAAUUUUGUAAUAUAUACAAUGAGCAUACACAUAUAUUAUAUUAAAAAAAAAGAUUAUUAAUUAAUAAUCACCUUGAGCACACACAUAUAUUAUAAAUACACACACACACACACACACACACACAUAUAAUAUAUAUAUAUAUAUAAAAUAGGAGAUGAAAAGCACAAUGAGCACACAUAUAACAAUGCACGCAGACAGAACACACAUCCAUUAUAUUAAAAAAAUAAAAAUCAGAAGAAAAAAAAGGCAGAGAGACGAUAGUGCAAGGAAAAGGUAUGAGGCAGUUAAAACCUACCCAAAAUUUGGGUUUGGGAGUAAAAAUAAAAAUAAAAAUAAAAAUAUAUUUAAAAAAAAAAGCCCUUGAGGCGCGCCUAGGUGGCUCCGGCGACGCCUUCCGCCCACUCCCUCAAAACAAAGGCGACAACCCUCACACCCAGCCUCAGAGGACACCUAGGCGCACCUUGGGGCGAACCUUUUAAAACAUUGAUCUCACCACAAGCACACCCCAUUUCCCAAAACUGGGAAGAAAAAAAUAACAUGGUGAUUGGUGCCCCUUUCUCAAUUUGGCUUUACAAUAUGAGUUUAGACCUACUUGGAAGUAUGGAACAAUUAAGAUGAUAUUUGCAUUCAAUCAGGUAGAUUUCCUAUUACCUCAAAUCAUAUUUAACCAAUGUUGGGUUAUUUCUUCAUCACUAAGUACCCCACGAAAUCUAUUGGGGGCCCAAAUCCAUAGUGCUUAUAGUUCUCAUGGGUACGGGUGACUUUUUGCACUAUAGCCCAAAGGGUGGAGUAAGGGUUUGAACAGAGAUAGAGAUGCUGUUUUUGGUUUGUUGAAACUGUAAAGAGUCAAGAGAUAAAGGAAACUAGAAAGACAUUGUAAAUGCAUCAAUCAAAUGCACAAAAAUAAAAAAAAAAAUAAAUAAAUAAAAAAAAAAAGUUUAAUACCUUCUAAUAGGAGAAUGAUCAUCCUUUAUUAUUUUCUGCUCAAGCUCUAGCUCUUCAUCAAGCAUAAAUGUGUUUGCAAAAUCGUUAGACAUUGCAAGAUUCUUCAUAUCCAUAUCUGAAGGCAUGCCUUCAGUCCCAUCAUCAUCAUAUCUUACAGUUUCAAUUCCCUCUGAGUGGUAUGGGCGGUCUAAGUAAUUAUCCAUUUCGGGAUCUGAGGACUUGCAAUUUGAUUUGGAAGUCAACUUUGCACUUAAAGCACUAUUAUAAUCAGCAGAUGCUAGUGAUCCGCUAUCAACUUGAACAUCAUCAAUGCCAGGUAUGGUGGUUGAUGGCAUGCACGACAUCAAUUUUUUUCCAUCUGAUAAAACUUCUACCUUUUCUUCGAAAGCUUUCAUUCUAUCAUUGCUCGUGCUAUUCUCAGGAGCAUUGAUAUAUCUAUCUUCAACUUGAACCAUGUGAGUUUGCAGCUUGGAUGUUAACAUUGAGUCUACAGAAUCUGCAAUCCACUUCGACCACUCAUCACGUCUUCGUAUCUUGUUAGCCUACAAAGACGAAACAACUCAAGUGCAUGUCAAGAAAAAAAAAAAAAAAAAAAAAAAAAAAGAUGCAAUGCAUUUCAAAAACUUUCAUAACUUGUCAACAUAUUUCCCAAUUUCUCUGAAUAAUUUACAAUGCUGUGCCAGAUAACACAAGUGGCCAAUCAAAGUCAAAUGCAGCAUCUCAAACAAUAGAAAGGCACAAACUAGGAAGAAAUAAAAGCAGACUUACAAAUUUACAAUAAGAAAUUAUUAGUACAAAGGUAAUAACAAAUAACAUACCAAUUCAAACUCCACAUCAAUCCUUUUUUUUCCAGUUACAAAACCGUAAUAAUUCUUUGAUAUAUAGGGAGAGUAUUCUCUAACCUACUGUGGGGUUACUAAACAUAAUAUCUCCAUCAAAUGAAAUUGUUAAUGUAUCAAGACAUGAAUGAUGGCGAUGCUUUCAAAUGACCAUCUGUUCAGAAUCCAGAUUUUAAGAUCCAAUCUUAAUACUGAUUUGCAUCUAAAUACAUCAUAUCAAUUAUUUUCUUAUGAAUAUAAUGACAUUCCUCUCCUACACAUCUUCACAGGCAUAAAUAUAGACAGGAAAAAGAGAACCAAGAAGUAUAAUAAGCACACAAAUUAAAACACAAAAUAAAAAUCUGAAAUCAAGCAAAGUGAAACAUAAGCAAACCUAAAAGGUUGUUGAAUUUGAAAACCAGUAAAGGAAGAUUUUUCAGCAAAGACAUUAUAUCUAGCCUGUUAACAUAGGAGAAGAGAACUUAAACAAUUUAUGCAGGUCAGAGAAAUCAGACUAACUAUGAAUAUACUUAAGUUUUAUUAACUAUGCCACUGAAGGUUGGAAGAGGGACGAAGAGAAGGGAAGAAAAAGUUGGAUACUACAAGAAUAUAAAUUAGAGAAAAAAGAAAGGAGAGAAAGAGAGAUUCCAUGCUAGCAAACAAUAGACCGCAAAAUUUGGUUGUCAUUCCAUAAAAAUAUUAGGACAUGCUAUAUUAAAAUACCAAAGAGAAGAAAGAAGAUUAACCUGCACUUCUACAGUAGUUGAACCCAGCAGCGAGUCAAUGAUGAAUGCUAUGUCUGUACACAUUUUCUUAACCUAUAACACACAAUAUCAAAAUAUAGCUUAUUCACGUUAUUGUCAGCUACAAAACAGGAAGACAGAUUAACUAAUCUAAUAGAUCACACAGCUGACCAAAAGCAAAACUGGAUCAGCAUGUAUUACCUUAGCUUCUGCAAUAUCUACUAUGAUACCAAAACAUACCCUUUUAAAUUCAGCAAUGGUGGUUAUUGGGACCCAUCCUUGGUCAUCCAUGAAUGAAAUUAAGUAACGGUCUUUCUUUAGAUUUUCAUCACUGCCAAAGAAAGAUUAAGAGUUAAUUAAUAAUAAAAGAAAUAUUUGUAUCAUCUAUACCACUAUUUAAGAGAUUACUCCCUGUCAUUGUGUGUGAAAAUCGGUUAUAGCCCUAUUGCAAAGAUAACUUUAUUAAGUCAUCUAAAAUUUAGUGAUAAUUUUACCCUUACAUACAGCGGCUAACAAACUAAGCAAAACAAAAAAGAAGAAGGUGCAGCUUGAUUAUAUUUCAAUUUAUCAACAUAUAUCCUAAAACCCGGAUUAAAUACCAUUAGUUGAGGUAUCUUAUAUGCUUCAGUGCUUCACCAAUUUAGAAGACCUGUGAAAUAUAAACUAUCAAAUUCUUUCCUUAGGAAUUUUCACUACUCUGUGUAGAGAGGGUUGAGAAUGUGUGAUUUCAUUAUUGACAAAACUUCCUUCCAUGCGUUAAAACUUAACAAUCAUGCCAUGCGGUACAAUAAAGUUCAAAAUGCUCAAUAAUGGGUUCUCUAAUUAAAGCAUUGGGAUAACAUACAUUGAUAUCGAAGGCACGUUGGAAAGAUAUGAUCAUCUUUAAGGUUAUCUUUUCGUAUCAGCCGUUCUAUUCUUCCAGACUAUUACAUUUUGGUUUAUAAGUUUCCUUUUGUAGCUUUGAAUAAUAAAAAAAAUUGGAAAGAUAAGAAAUCUAUCAAGAUUGUAAAAAUUCUUCUAAGAAAACUUCUUUUGAUAUUACAUCUUUACGAUUGAACGAAUACAGAAUCUCAGUCAACAACAAAUGAAUAGCUUUUUUAGCUUCUAUUUCUCCUUUUGAGAACAACGAUAUAUUUUACAAUAAAGGGAGGGGGGAUUUCGGCUAAGCCACACAAUGGGCAACCUAAUUUGGUAUCGAAUUCUCCAUCUACGAGAUUCGAACCUAAGACCUCUCACUUACAAGUGAAGAGGAAUACCACCAUAGUUUAUAUAAUUAUGCUAAAAAGGAAAGCUUUCUCAACAGUACAAUGCAAACACAUAUAUGCACUAGCUUGCAAGCAGUGCACAAACACCGAGAUUGGCAAGAUAAAAGACUUUCUUAAACAAAUUACCUGAAAUAAUACUCUAUUUGCUUUAUAAUAUUGUCCCUCAACGACAAUGUAUGUGUUUUUGAGGGCGGUAAUGGAGCCCCUGGAUUUAAAGGAUGUGGCACAAAGCUAGGAGGAUGAGGUCCCCUAAUUGCGGAAAGCGGUGGAACUGGAAGAUAGCAUAUGGGUGCAGGUCCUGUGUAAUUGAGAUAAAUCAUUGUGGAAAGAAUCUAAUCCUGAACAACGCAUAUAUACAAUAAAAAAUAUUGUUCAUAAAUGCAAAAUAAAGAAGCAGCAACCGCUCGAUUGUUAGGAGAUUCAUUCAAGAUACUGAUUUCUCCUUUUUUAGAAAAGCAAAAUUCAAGUAUAUUGCUGACACUGGAAAUAGUCAAAAUACCAAUGGAGAAAUAGAAAAUUGCAUAGAAAUAAAAAAACUAUAACUGAAACCAAAAUAAGACAGCUCAGCACCGGUAUGAUAGAACUACCAGGAAUGCUUGGGCCAACCAUGAACCUUGGGGCUGGACCAAAAAGCUGAGGUCUUAAGAAAGGCCUAGGUCCAACACCCUGUUGCACAGGAAUGUUCUCUCUGGGGUUGAAUGCUCGCUGUUGAUGCCAAGUAUGAUUCCAAGGGCCACCGGGUUCUUGCAUAUUGGGUCUUCUAGUAGAAAAAUUGACACCAUAAGCAUUCGGAUUAUUUCGUGGCUGAGGUUGAACUGGUUGCACAAAAUUUUGCACUGGGGUCUCGAAUCCAGAUUUUACCAUAUGAUUCCCAACACUUGGAAUGGGUCCAGCGUAUGGCUGGUAAGCAUACCCAGAAGCCGGAAUGUAGGGUUGUACCAUGGUAUGAAAAACAGUAGGAAGCGAUUGUUGAUGGUAGGGUACGGGUACUGGAAAAAGAGGUGCAGCAUUUGUGUUGCGCCUAGGACCUUUUUCGUGAUGUGAUGAUGAAUGCUUGUGCGAAGCGUUAGAGUUUCCAGAUUCAUUCAACUUCUGCAUGACUAAUCCCUGGAUGACAAAGCAGAACAUAUAAAGUCAAAUACAGUUAGCAACUAGAUGAACAGAAGUAGCAUGUACGAAAUUUCUCUUUCUUUUAGCAUGUACAAAAUUUCUCUUUCUUUUUUCAAAGAAUAAGGUAUCAAUUUUGAUGAACAGGUCACAGGCCCUAGCAUAAAAAAUUCCAAAAACCCCCCUCCAAAUACUAUUAAUUAAUUUUUAUGUCUCUCUAGACAUGUCAACAACAGGACCAAAAUAACAAAAGGUUCAAUUCUUCUAUUACAGUUCCUUGACAAAUUGUAAAAUCACUUUACGAGAGAAGAACUAUCUAAUGCCAAAACAAAAUAGGAAACAAUAACCCUGAAGCAUGACAUUACUAUCUAAUGCAAAAACAAAAUAGGAAACAAUAACCCUGAAGCAAGACAUGCUUCACUGCUGUAUAAUUCCAGUGUCAAAAGAGAUCAAGGCAUUCCUAACAUAGCACAAGAAUAUAUUCUAAUAAAUUAACCAGGGGUGGCUGGAGAGAGAGAGAGAAAGAGAGAGAGAGAGAGAUUAAAGCAUGAUGUGCCAGUUUGAAGACAAAGCAAAAUUCUUAUUCAGCAGUCUAUUUAGAAGAACUUUUUUCGUGGGAAUUCCACAAUGUGACCAUUUCAGAUACAUGGUUUAAACAUAUGUAUGUUUGUAAUACAUAUACAUGUAUAAUUAUUAAUCAAUAUUGCAUACAUUACAUACAUACAAAUAUUUAAAUGAAAUUGGUGACGCUCCAACAUUUUUCUUUUCCUUAAACAAUAAUCACCUUGAAGGCAACAUUUCCACAAUAAUGGUUAUAUUGAUUACUGCAAAUUUUAUCAACAGGAUAAAGGAUUAGAUAAAACAUAUAUCUACUGCAAAAGUCGAAAUCAAGAACAGAAGCAUUUGGGAUUCAUUUGUAAAACGUUGGUUUAGAACAGCAAUCUAUUAAUUCCCUAGGGACCCAAUUUCUUCAUUUUUCUUUUCGACUUCAUUCAGUUCAGGUGGUUAGAUAAACAUACAUGUAGGAAAUUUUAUUUCUUAUUAAACAAGAUUAUACUCUCUAGUUCCUUUAUUCAAAAUUAUACUAUUCUUUCGAUGGGUGCUGGGGCGAAAGCAGCAAUGGGAGUACAGCUGCAUCAGUUAUGGCUGCAAGCUCCACAGGAAUAAUUGGAGGUCUCCUCCAUACUUUGAGGAUUUCCAAAACAGUUUGAUAGUUUCAUACGUUAAUUAUUCAAAUUUCUUCUCGGAAAGUAAAGAUUGAUGAGUUCGCAAUGCAUGUUCCGUACAUUAUAAUUUUACACAUUUCAAACAAGUACCAAACAGCUUCAUUGGAAUUACCUGCGCAGGCGCGGGCAGGGGAGACGGCUGCGCAGCUGGCGGCUUUGCAGCAGCAUCCAGACUCUUGGGCCUGUGGGCAUCGGCCAGAGCAGGCCAGGAUUCGGCGGCCAUUACGGGAGCAUCAAGGGAGACCGGAGUCCUCCAUGGGGACUUGGGCCCGCCGCCAUUGACGUUGAGGUCCCUCUGGUCAUCCCCAACUUCAUUCUCAGCCAUCACCAUCACUCCCUCCGAUCUCACCAAAACAAAACUCCUCUCCUUUCCCUUCCUUUCCUUUCAAUAGAUUACUGAUGGAGGGGGGACAAGAGAGAGGAGAGUGUCACUGUGUCAGUGGCAAAGGUGUAAAAUUGAGGCCAAAAGAGUAGCUGCAGGGUUUUGUACUGUUUCAUUCCGACAUUCGUUUGGUGGGAGUUAGGGUUUUAGGGGGGAUGACAGUUGUGGUUGCGAACGCCGACGAAAGCAAUUGCGGGCAAGUCUUGAAAACGCUGCGUGUGUACUACAGUGUAGGUUUCCGCCCCAUUUAUAUGAGGAUUUAAUGAUGCCGAGUCAAGGGGUGUCUGUCAAUUGGCAUAUGACGUUUUCGGCUGGUUCGGUUUUUUUUUUUAAAUAAAAAAUCAAAUUAAAAUUACUGUUCUAUUCGAUUUAGUUUGGUUGGAUUAUUAUUCUGUUUUUUCGGUUUGGUUUUUUUAUUUUUACUAGCAAAGGCCACACUCUGUGUGCUGAAAAAUAUAUUUUUUUUGUUUUAAAUGUUUGCUUUCUAGUUUUUUUAUGAGAGGAGUUAUUUGUUUUUAACAGGUUUGCAAGCAUCCUAACAAAAUAGGGUUUGUAAGUUAGGAAAGAGAGAGAAUGAGAUUAGAGGGUAUUGAUAAAGUGACACAAUUGUGAGGUUUUUCAAGAAAAAGUAAAAACUUGUUUGUACAAAAUUACUUCAAUGCCCACUUUGUUUUUUUUUCUAAUAUCUUCUUUUAGUUUUGUAUUAAAGGGUAUACUAGUAAUUUUAUUAGUUUUUUUGUUGACAAAUAGUGUUUUAUUAAUAUGUAGUUUAGAUUAAAGAGUAUAGUAGUAAUUUUAUUAGUUUUUGAUUGACAAACCGUGUUUUAUUAGUAUGUAGUUUAAAUAAAACAUGAAAGUCAUAAGGGACUCAGCUCGCGAGGGGUGUUGGGCCUUAGCAUGCAAGGCAAAAACCUUUGAGAACAUUAACGAGCCCGCGAGGAUCCCAACUUCAUCCCUCCUCCUCCUACUAAUUCCAGCUUGGUGGCAGGUGUAUAUGAAAGUGCACCCAAAAAAGCAUCCAUUGGUGUACUUGCAACAUCAACGAUUAAAUAUAGAAAAAAAAUUGAAACUUAGAAAACCCAGAAAUGCACACAUUGGUGUUCUUGCAACACCCAGAAAAAGCACCCAAGUAGAAUCAAUAGUAUUAAAUAUUUUUUAGAAAGAAAAAAAUGAAACUUAGAAAACCACUAUAAAUUUGACUGCAGCGCCUUCAUGAUGCGAAAUAUAUAAGCACACAAAUUAAACCAUAUUUUUAUCAAUUGUAGUAAAGUAUGUAAAUAGGGAUCGUUCUAGACCGGGGAUUAGGAGGGAUUGCUAAAACACUUGAAAUUGACUCAAAAACGUAAAACAAAGUUUAAAACACUAAACUAGACUCAAAGAAUGCAAAACUAAACUCUAAAACACUAAAACAAACCAAAAGACUCAAAACAGCACAAAAACACUCAGAACUGCCUUAAAACACCUUAUGGGCAGUUUUGAACUCUAACACAAACUUGGACGAAUUUGGGUUAUAACUUGAAUCAAAACACUUAAAAACACAAACUAAAUUGAUUUCUAACUAAUCUAACACUUUAAAAUAAUGGGGGAUUUGGUUUUGACGAAUUUGAAAACAAUGAAAACAGAUUGUAACUAAAACAGAUUUUUAAAACGAAUUUGGAUGAAACUAUGGAUGGAAGGCUAGCUAGAGGGUUCUUCUCCACACACGACACACUUGCACAUAAACCAAUUUUCAGUUGUUCUUUCAAUAAAUCAUGAAACUCAACACCCUAGGUUAAUUAGGUCCGCUUAAAUUAACCUUCAAGUUCUCCUUAAGUUAUUGAAUUGGAUGGGAAAACGCAUACAACAAUUCAAAGCAUUCUUCAAAAGUUCUUUACAUGAAAAGCACAAUAAAGAUACAAUAAAAAAUCAUUAAGCAUCAUGAAAACUAUAAGUAUUGACGAGACAUUCGUUACUAUGAUGAGCAUGAAACUAGUGCCAAGAAUUCAUUUAACGCGAUCGUUUAUAAGCGACCUCCGCUACUUGUGAAUAUAAGUUUGUAACUAUUAGGUGAAACUCCCUUAUACUCUAGCAUCAUAUUCAUGCAUGAAAACUAAGCGUGCACUCUUAAUAAACAUACACAAAUAAGUUAUCAAUCAAACAUUUAAACAAAUUGAAUCCACAACUUAUGAAAUCACAACUGAAGGUAAUCAAUUCAUAUUGCAAGUAUGUACAUGGUUUCGAAUCCCCCCUAACUAAGAGGGGUUUAGUUCCUCAUACUCAUAAAACAAAGAUUAGUGAAUUGAAACAUUGAAAGCAAAAGAAAAAUUACACCUAAAACGUUCCAGCAAUCCUAAAUCGAAUGGCAAGCACGUCCAAGGGCUCUCCUAUUUCCUCUUUGUUGUGGCACAAGGGUUGGUGGUGAGUUUUGGGGGUUAUGGAUGGUGUAGAAGUAUAGAAUUGUGUUUAGGAUGGAUGUAUGGUGCGGCAAGAAGUGUUUGGGUCAGAAACUAUGGAAAUUGAUGAAGGAUGGGCACGGCAAGGAAGGUUGAAUGGUUUCUGGCGUGAAUGGGGGUGAAUGGCUCGUUUGUGGCUGCAAAAAGGAAGUUUAUUUAAAGGAUUUCAGGAAUUAAAACCCUAGGUUAUUUAGGUAAAUAGAAAUUAAGUCAAAAGCUUCUAGAAAUAGGAAAUCAAAUCAGAAACUUAAAGGAAAUUGACUAAUAGGUGCGGCAAGGGCAUAAAACACAAAAGGAAUGUGUUUUAAUGCAAGGAAAUAGGAAAGAACCCUCUCCCUUGCACGGCAAGGAAGAGGAAAGGUCAAGGGAGGUGCGGCAUAUGUUUUAGGGAAGGUAAAGUGUCCUAAAAUUGAAGGGAAAAGGGUUCUUUUGCACGGCAAAGGAUGGUGAGAAAGGGAAAGGUGCGGCAAAGGUCCAUAAGGGUUCUAGGGCCUUUGUUUUGUGUCCUAUAAUGCAUAUGAAGUCUUCAAAGUGGCUGGAACAUAAGGACUUUUAGAAUUAGGAAAGGUCAAACCAAAAUAGGAAACCUUAGCUUAACUUUCCUACUUCAAGUAGGAAUCCUUGUUGGAGUAGGAAUCCUUGUUCUUCUAGGAAUCCUCAUGUGAGUAGGAAUCCAUCUUCAAUUAGGAAUCCUUCGUUGAUUAGGAAUCCUUACUUCAUCAAAUCUUCAAUUAUGUCCAUUCCUUUUGCUCCAAGCAUGUGAUAAUCAUUCCAAGCCCAAUUUUGCUCCAAAAGGCACCAAAUUGCAUACUUUGCCCUUAGAAUUUGAAAACACACAAAAGUGACUUUAAACACUAAAAUAACUAAGGAAACACAACAUAAAUGCACAAGAACAAGCCAACUUAGUCGCAUAAAAAUGCUCCUAUCAAAUUCCUUCACACUUAGCGUUUGCUAGUCCUCGAGCAAAACAAAACGAACUCAAGAAAACAAAACGAAACAUAACAAACAAAACACAACCUAAACCUUCGAACGUUUGCCUCAGGGAUUUCCAAUGCACAUGACAUGUUAAAAAUCAUCAUCCCCACAUAUUUUAGUCAUCUUCACACUUAAGCACAUACUUAAUCAUAGUCACCACUUCCUAGUGCACAAUUAACCAAUUAAAACAAUGUUUUGAAUGUAGUAACAUGCCUUAGAGAAUGCCCUCAAUUCCUUACAAGGUAUGCACUCAAUUUUCACUUAGAUUUUCUAACUACACACCCUAUACUAGUUAUAUGUGAGAAGAUUGAUGUAAACAUGAAAACGAACGCUCACAUAUAUGUAUAACAAAGGAAGCAAUUUCUAGAGUUAAUAAGCAUGUUUAAAUAUGAUCUCAUGAAUGGAAUGCUAUUACUUAGAUGCGAGAACCAGUGACACUAUAUGCUCAUACCAAAUUCAAACUCCACAAAUUGAAAUACACAACACUCAAGAUUGAAGUCAAGGGUUGUAACGGGGCUAAGGGUGUUGGCUAACAAAGAAAGGUAAGGGAUAAACAAAGGUUCUUUAAGCAAUAGCAAGCAAAGCAAUGAAAUCAAAACUUAGAAUUCACUUUAGAAUGCAGAAAUCACUUUUAGACAUAAAGGGAAGAUUUAAACAACUCUUAGGGUCAAAUUCAACUUGUUGGACCCUUCCUUCAACAAACAAUACUUUAGAACUCUUUUUCACAUCUUUUCAACUUUUUUUUUUCAUACUUUUCACACUUUUCUUUUUUUCUUUCUUUCUUUUCACGAAUUUUUCUUUUCAUUUCUUUCUACCCAUACCUAUGGCACACUAACUCACAUGAGAAACACUUCCCCCACACUUGUUUUCUGCCAUACAUUAAUCAAAAGGAAAUCAAUUUGAAUCAUGCUUUACUAUGCUUCAAGAACAAGGGUAUGGAUGGUCAUAAUCUAGGCUAGGUGAGGAUAACGUGGGUUAACAAAGAAUGUAGGCUAACAAGGCUCAAUGGGGUUAACUUAAACAUAUAAUGAAGUAGGAUACACGGCAAUUUGGCUGUGGUGGUGGUCACUACACAACUUCAUCUUGAAUAUGUGUUAUGCAAAUCAAUACCAUGCUUUGAAUGAAAUGAGCAUGAGUUUUAGCAUUUGGAACUAAAUAAUGAAACGCCUUCUAAGUAGUAACCAAGCAAAGAAUAAUGAGAUCAUGCAACGACUUUAGAAAACAAUAAUGCACAGAUUAUCAACUUUCCAAAUAAAUGUUUAGGCUCAAAUCUCACAAGGUUGUAGCGUUAAUUUGAGUUCCUUCCUUCAAGAAUGUUACAAAAACUGAUUUUUCCUUUAUGAUUACAUGUUAAUUCAUAAGUUAUAACCACAACCAAGCAUAAACAAAGAGUAAAUCAAACUUUCAUCCAUGUUAACCACUCUCUUUAAUAGCCAUGUAAUUACAAACCAAAUCCUCAUCAUUGUGUUGGAAGGUACCCUAAGACGCAAACAAACACACAAAAACAACUCUUUUUGGGUUUUUUCUAAACAAAUUUUCAAAUUUUUAUGAGAUUUUCGGAUUUUUAAGUCAAAACACACUAAAACACUCCAAAACAGCUUAAAAACACUUAAAAACAGCAAGGAACAAGUCCAUAAGUAAUGGGUGAUAAAAUCCCACGAAUUUGCAUAAAAAACACUUAGUUGCCCCCCAUACUUAAAUCAAACAUUGUCCUCAAUGUUUCAAGCAUAAAGUUACACAAAACACAAAGAAACCAACAAACAACAACUUAAAUAACUAAACAGGGCAGAUUAGAAACAACAACAAAGAGAAGGGUUUUAGGAAUGCAGAUCUGGAAUUGGAGUGAUUCCUAAGGCUUCCUUUGUUGAAUGCAUGGGUUGCCUCCCAAGUAGCACUUGCUUUAACGUCUUGCAGCCGGACGAAGAACAUGUUCAUUCCCCCAUUGGAGCCCACGGCAUGCAGUGGGAUCUCCUCCACGACAUGCUCAACAAAGUUCUCAUAGUAAGGCUUCAAUCGAUGUCCAUUCACCUUGAAUUCUUGUCCAGUUUUCAAACUUUGUAUUUGGACUGCACCAUGCACAAAAACAUUAGUGAUAACAAAUGGACCAACCCACUUAGAACGUAACUUACCUGGGAAUAAACGAAGACGGGAGUUAAAUAGCAACACUUUCUGCCCAAUGGAAAAUGUUUUGCCUCUAAUCAUCUUGUCAUGGAACGCAUUGGUCUUCUCUUUGUAAAUCCGGGCAUUCUCAUAAGCAUCAUGCCCAAUCUCAUCAAGCUCGUUCAAUUGGAGCUUUCUAUGAUUUCCAGCCGUGUCCACAUCCAUAUUGAAGGUUUUGACCGCCCAAUGUGCCUUGUGUUCAAGUUCCACGAGUAGAUGGCAUGGCUUGCCAUAGACUAGCCGAAAUGGGGACAUACCAAUGGGCAUUUUGUAAGCCGUUCUAUACGCCCACAAUGCAUCCUCCAAACGCAAGCUCCAAUAUUUUCUAUUUGGCCUAACGGUCUUUUCCAAGAUUUGCUUGAUUUCUCUAUUCGAAACUUCGGCCACUUGUUUGGGGGUGAUAAGGUGUGGAAACCUUAUGCAUCACAUUGUACUUUUUGAGCAGCGCCUCAUUGGUGCAGUUGCAAAAAUGAGACCCACCAUCACUUAUUAGCACUCUAGGCAUCCCAAAUCUAGAGAAAAUGUUAGAUUUAACAAAAUCUGCAACAACUCUAGAAUCGUUAGUUCGGGUGGCUUUGGCUUCCACCCACUUCAACACAUAAUCAACUGCAAGUAAAAUGUACGUAAAACCAAAAGAAGUAGGGAAAGGACCCAUAAAAUCAAUACCCCAAACAUCAAAGAUUUCAACAACAAAGAUGGGUACCUGCGGCAUUUGAUCUUUUUGGCCUAUAUUACCUGUCCUUUGGCAGCGAUCACACGUUAAACAAAAUGUUCUAGCAUCUUAAAACAAAGUAGGCCAAUAAAAACAACAUUCAAGAACCUUAAAAGUUGUCCUUUGGGUGCCAAAAUGACCCCCACAUGCAUAUGUGUGACAAAAACUUAAAAUGGAAUGAAAAUCUGAUUCAUGCACACAUCUUCUUAUAAUCUGAUCUGGGCAAUAUUUCCACAAGUAUGGGUUAUCCCAAACAUAAAAUCUAGCAUCCUUCUUAAGUUUAUCACGUUGGAAUUUGUUUAGGGUGCUAGAAACUUGUUUAGUCACCAAAUAAUUCACCAAAUCUGUAUACCAAGGCUCACUUACCUUAAUGGACAAGAGUUGUUCAUCUGGAAACGUUUCAGAGAUGGGAAGAGCCUCCUCUUCACGCACCAACCUGCUUAGAUGGUCGGCAACUACAUUGUCACUCCCCUUUUUGUCCUUAAUUUCGAUAUCAAACUCUUGAAGUAGAAGCAUCCAACGAAUGAGUCUAGGUUUAGCUUCUUUCUUUGUGAACAAGUACUUCAAGGCUGCAUGGUCAGUGAAAACAAUAACUUUAGUGCCAAUUAAAUAUGAUCUAAACUUAUCUAAUGCAAAGACAACAGCCAAGAGCUCUUUCUCAGUUGUUGAAUAAUUUAAUUGAGCAUCAUUUAAGGUACGAGAAGCAUAAUAAAUAACAUGUGGCAGCUUGUUUUUCCUUUGACCCAAAACAGCCCCAAUUGCAUAAUCCGAUGCAUCACACAUGAGCUCAAAGGGAAUGGUCCAAUCUGGUGGAAUGAUGAUUGGUGCCGAGGUAGCAAGGUUUUGAUGUGGUUGAAUGCUUCCUCACAUGCCUUGUUGAAGUCAAAUGGUGCAUCCUUUUGAAGGAGACGGCAAAGGGGUUGUGCAAGCUUUGAAAAGUCCUUGACAAAUCUUCUAUAGAACCCUGCAUGCCCAAGAAAAGAACGAACCUCUCUAACCGAAGUUGGAGAGGGUAAGUGACGUACAAGAUCUACUUUAGACUUAUCUACCUCAAUCCCAUGUUCAGAAAUUAUAUGACCCAAAACUAUACCUUGUUUAACCAUGAAAUGACAUUUUUCCCAAUUGAGAACAAGGUUAGUUUCAACGCAUCGUUUUAAGAUCAAACUGAGAUUAUGCAAACAACCAUCAAAAGAGUCACCAAAAACACUAAAAUCAUCCAUAAAAACUUCAAUAAUUUUCUCAACAUAAUCAGAAAAUAUGCUCAUCAUGCAUCUUUGAAAUGUGGCAGGUGCAUUACAUAAACCAAAUGGCAUGCGACGAUAUGCAAAUGUACCAAAAGGGCAUGUGAAAGUGGUUUUUUCUUGGUCCUUGGGUGCUAUGACAAUUUGAUUAUAACCAAAAUAACCAUCAAGAAAACAAUAGAAUUUAUGACCCGCUAACCUUUUAAGCAUUUGAUCAAUGAAUGGCAAAGGAAAGUGAUACUUCCUUGUGGUGGAAUUGAGCUUCCUAUAAUCAAUGCAAACCCUCCAACCUGUUAUGACACGAGUAGGCACGAGCUCAUUCUCUUCAUUUUUCACCACUGUCACGCCAGACUUUUUUGGAACACAUUGAAUUGGUGAGACCCAAUGGCUAUCCGAGAUGGGAUAAAUCACUCCACAAUCAAGUAGCUUGAUAAUCUUCUUUUUCACAACUUCCAUCAUUAGAUGGUUAAGACGGCGUUGAGCCUCUCUAGUUGGUUUGGCCCCCUCCUCAAGAAAUAUGCGAUGCAUGCAAGUGGUAGGGCUUAUUCCCUUGAUGUCGGCCAAAGUCUAACCUAUGACAGAUUUGAACUCCUUCAAAACACGAACAAGUUUUUCUUCUUCUUGGGUCGUGAGGAAUGAUGACACAAUGACAGGUAAGGUCUCUUGUUCCCCCAAGUAAACGUACUUCAAAUGGCUUGGUAAUGGUUUUAGUUCAAGGGUAGGUGCCUGAAUUACUGAAGGAAAUGUUUUAUCAGUUGAAACGGGAAUUGACUCAAAGUUAGAAAGCUUACCAACAUGCUUUGGCAACGAUUCAAGGGCAGCAACCAUUUCACUUAGUUCCCCACACCAUGGCACGGCAUUGAGUCCUUCACACAAGGCCACGGCAUAGAGUUCAUCACUUGAGCCGUGGGUUAGCAUAGGGCUUGCUGUUUUGAUUUCCAUUCCUCUUGUAAUGACUCUUUCAAGUGCAUCAUCCUUCAAAUCGUCAAAAUAUCCCUGCGCCAACGAAUCAACUAUAUCAAUAGCAAAACAUGAAUGAUCAUCAUUAGGAAACUUCAUAGUUUCAGAAAUAUUGAACUUAAUAACUUCCCCAUCAAAUUCCAUCGUUAAUGUGCCAUUGUACACAUCAAUCUUAGUUCGGGCAGUUUUCAUGAAUGGUCGUCCAAGGAGGAUGGGCAAUGUAGGAGAAUGGUCUAAGUCUUCCAUGUCAAGGACGUAGAAAUCCGCCGGAAAGAUUAAUUGAUUUACCUGUACCAAAACAUCUUCCAAAACUCCUUUUGGAUAGACAUUAGAUCUAUCGGCCAAUUGAAUAAUCACACCAUCCUUUUUCAACUCACCAAGGUUCAUAGAUGCAUAAAUUGAGUAAGGCAUGGCAUUAAUAGAUGCACCUAAAUCUAGCAUGGCAUGUUCAAAACGAUUGUUGCCAAUAACACAAGAAAUUGUAAAACUACCCGGAUCCUUGCAUUUAGGGGGCAAUUUACGUUGUAAGAUGGCUGAGACAUUUUCACUUACCUUUACAACCUCCUUGUUCGAAAUUCUUUUCCUAGUUGUGCAAAGUUCUUUUAAAAACUUGGCAUACCUUGGCACUUGCUUGAUUGCAUCAAGGAGUGGAAUGUUAACUUGAACUUUCCUAAAUGUAUCUAGAAUGUCCUUUUCAGCUUCCUCGUUCUUUGUUUGCAUGAACCUACGAGGAAAAGGUAUAUUCAAAGGAAUAACAUUAGUAGAACCCGAAUUGGACACAUUCUUACCUUUGUUGGACAGAUUGAGUGGUGUUGGUGCUAUUGGAACUUGCGGCAAGGAUGUUUCUAUCUUUGCCGUGGGUGGACUUGCUUCAUUCUCUUCCAUUUGCAACAUUUCAUCCUCCUUGUGACCUGUUUUUGAUGAAGAACCUGCCUCAACCUCCUUGCCACUUCUUAGGGUGAUUGCUUUGGCUGAUUCAAACCCUCCCUUUGGAUUUGCAAUGGUGGAACUAGGGAGUCUUCCUUGGUCUGGAAACUGUCCUACAAAUUCAGCAAUCUGCCCAAUUUGUUUCUCUAGUUGAUCCACCAUUUUGUCUUGGCUUUGCAUUGCUUUGGUUUGAUUUUUUUGCCCUUGAGACAAAUUGGUUAGUAACUUAAGAAGUGUGUCAUUAUCCAAAGUGUUACCUGAAGUGUUUGGAGCAGAUUGUGGAGGAGCUUGUGUAGGUGCGUAUGGCUUGGUGCCCAGGGGUUGUUGCCUAAAGCCUCAUUGUUGAUUGGGUUGUUGUGACUCCCUCCACUUGAAAUUUGGAUGGUCUCUCCAACCGGGAUUAUAUGUGUUGGAGUAUGGAUUGUGUUGGAAAUAUGCCCUCAAAGUCAAUCUUUGGAAGAAACCUUUUAGGACAAUGAAUGGAUGUAUAGAUGAUUCUUGUACUUCAAAUGGCAAAGAUACUAAUUAGGACUAUCUCAACACACGAUAUAUGUCCUAAAUAGUGAAUCCAUGGACAAUGGAUUGAUGGAAGAAGUAAUCUAAUGAUGUUAGACUACAGAGACCUUCUUCACAUAACCAUCAUGUCCAAAAGGUUACUGGUUAUAGGAUUGUCGGAGGGAUACUGACAAUGCAUAGACCGGUACAUACUAUGUUCGUUUCAAUUGGAAGGAUGGAAAGUCUCGUACCAUUCGUGUAGUGACACUAAGACAGGUAUGUAGGUGCUCAUUAAGGGAAUGAGUUCACUGAACACAAUCGAACGAGAGUACUUGCAUGGAGGUCUACUCACAUGUCAAGCAAGUAACUCUAAUGGUUGGAAUAAUGUAAGUAGUCAUUUGACUUGAGGCAUCAUAGUUGUCUUGUGUUUAGCUAAUCAUCUUCUCACCCUUUUGGUUAUUCCUUCAUCCUUCUCACUACUCUAGUGGGUGAGGAUCUUUAGAGGUCUUCAACUUUGGAGACUUAAGGAGAACUAUUGAGCACUCAUUCUAACAAAGUGGAGGAGGCAAGGAGGGAGGCUAGGCUCAAAGAGUUCCAACAACAAAGGGCUUGGAGGUGGUCCAUCCUUGGUCUAAAGUCUAGAUCAAGAGGUAUAAAACUACUCCUACACUUUGUUCUUCAAUAAAUUGUUUUUGAUGCAUCAUACAUAAACCUAUGCAUCUUGAAGGGGAUUUGCAUGACUAUAGCCUUGAUAUUAUUUGAUAACAUGCUUCCGUUGCUUUCGUAUAUAAAUUUUGAAUUGUAUAUGCAUGCUAGUCACUAGAAAUCCCACAUGAAAUCUCCCAAUUUUCCCUUCAAGUGGUAUCAGAGCCAAAAGUUUAUGUUUGAUGUGUCCUUUUGGAUUUUAUGCAUAUGGGUUUUAAUUUUAUGUAUGACAUGUUAUUGCUUCAUUCAAAGUAUGUUUAUCUUUUGUUUUUCAAGUGUUGAAAAAUAUGAAUCAAUAGUUGAAAAGAUAUGUAUGCAAAAGUGUUUUGGAUGCAUGAAUGAAGAUUGAGUUUAGAACAAAAUUUUGGGGUUUUGUUCCAAAAAGGGGGCACGGCAAAGGGGUUUUUUUUUGGCUAAGUGUUUGUGUUUUAUUUUGAAUCACACACACACACUUUGAAGCUAGAAAGAAUAGAUCUUGUCACUUUUGUUUUUUUGGGUUUGAAAAAAUCACCAAGAAUAGUACAAAUCUUGAAAAUUGUUUUCAUGGUUUUGUUCUUGGUGUUCAUGGUUUGGUUUUGGUGAAAAUGGUUUCAUUUGUUUUUCAUGCAUCGUUUUGUGGUUUUGGAUGAUGUAAAACUUACCAUCCAUAGCCAUUUCCCAAAAUUUAUUAAACCCUAGACUUGACUAGGUGAAUUUCCAUCACCAUUUACUCUAAAGUCCUUAAAGCCUAAAAGUCCAAGUGACAAGUAAAAUUUUGGAUUUUUCUACUUUAUGUUGAUUUAAUUGCAAUAUGGGUGAGACCUCCCAUCCCUCUUAAUGUGGCCGGCCACCCUAGUGGAUUUAUCCACUUGUUGGGGCUACUUUUGUAAUUUUAAAAAGUUGAUAAUACUUUCAAGUAUUUACGGUUUGACCCCUAACUUUUUGUAUUUGCAUUUAGGCUCCUACUAACUAAAAAUCUAAAAUAUUUGAUUUUAAUUUUGUUAGUUGUUUAAACUCAUAAUACUAUUAUGCCCAUAUGCACUAAAUCUAAUUGUUUAUGUUGCAUUCCAAUUGAUUAUUUAAUGUGAUUAAGUAGUUAGAAAAAUGGUUAACUAUGGACUUAUGCCUUAAAACGAUAAUUGAGCUAUGAGAAAGGGCGCUAAACUCAAAUUGUUUGAACCUUGGGAAUGUGUUUUAAUUACUGUUUCAAUUGGACCUUGUCACGAUUGGACUUUAAUCAUUCUCUCCCUCUUAGUAUGUAAUUUGUAGGAAUUGGUACAAAUCGGUUUGUAAUUCUUAUUACUUCUUAAUCUCUUUUAAUUAGUUGAUUCCCUCUAGUGCUAGACUAGAGUUUCUUUAACUAUUGGUAAGGAGACAUAACUAAAAGAGGGUUUUGACAUGAGAUUAAAGAUUAAAUGGGUCCAAUGCCCUAAUUAGCAAUGAAUGAUUGUCUUUCAUUUCUAAUGGCUCAAUGAAAAUUGUUUUAAUUGGAUUGAAAAGCACGUAAUUAAAAUUGACACAACCUCCCCGAGUUCUUAUAUUCAACAAUGUUGGCUCGUUGUUGCAAUAACCUAAUAAGUCCAUGGUCAUCCAAGAGCCUAAGAUAACUAUAAAGUCCAAUUUCAAAAGGAAUGCAAAAACCGUUAGUAGUAGUAGUUACUUCCAAUAUUUGAAAAAAUUCGUUUUUGAUAUUGAUUUGUUUUUCUCAAAACAAAUAGUGGGAGUAUCAUACGCUACUAAACUAUAAUGAAUACAAUUAGUAGUUAUAUAUAUAUCUCCAAUAUUUUGAAAAAAUGUUUUGAUAUUGAUUUGUUUUAUGAAAACAAAUAGUGGGGAUAUCAUAUGCUACUAAUUUCAUUAACUUUGGACUAGUAGUUAUAAUAGGACACAAUUUAUUUGAAUUGUGAUUAAAUAAAUAAAAUUGAUGAGACCUUAAAAUCCCUCAACCAACAAACAAUUUUUAAGUUGAAAGCGUAAGAGGUGCUUUGAACACUUCUUUCGUGGCCUUCCACCAUGGUAGGCUCCAAUCGUUUAUGACUUGUACACCGCCUUCACCCUAUCAUGGGGAAGUGCAAAGUGCAUGCUUAUACUUCAGGAGGAGUUUAUAUUAAAACAUUUGAUGAGGUGAAGGUAGGCAACGAGUGUGGCCAACAUCGUAUCAUCGUGAGGUCAUACUUGAACCCCUAUCUAAACCGGCAUGGUGGGAUCGAAACUUAACUAAGAGAAAUGGUGCCAACAUCGUAUCAUCGUGAGGCAUUGUUCUCUAGAGGCCAAAAAGAUGGGUAAUCACAAGAGGUUGUUGUGAAUGGGUAAGUGUACCCUCUCAUUAUUAUUUUUUGCUAGCCGACAUCGUAUCAUCGUGAGGUGGGCUUGGUAAUAGUGAGCCUCCCAUAACCCGCUAGGAGCUUUCUUUGAAAUCUCCCGGAUUCCAUCUUGAGGGAUAUGGAAUUUGCCAAAAAUGGUGGGUGGUGUCAUUCGGUUUAAAGACCCGAAUCGUUUGACUUAAUCAACAAUCAAACUAAUUUAUUUUAUUGUUUAUGUAUUUAGAUAUGGUUGGAAGCACACUCGCGAAAAUACUCGACAAACAUUGCCUAGAGGGGCACAAUUUCCCAUCAUGGUAUCGUAAUGUCAAGAUUCUCCUAACAUUGGAGAAGAUUGUUUACGUGCUAGACAAGGCUCCACCUCACAUACCUCUCGGCCCUGAGGCCACUGAGGAUGAACGUGCUAAGUAUGACAAGCACGUUGAGGAUGAAACACAAGCCAAGUGCUAUCUGUUGGCUUCCAUGAAUGAGGAGCUACAGAGACAGCACGAGGGCAUGGACAGUGCAUCUUCCAUAAUACUCCAUCUUACGGAGUUAUAUGGUGAAGGGACGCGUAACCGUCGCUUUAGCACUGUUAGUGAACUUGUGAAGACCAAGAUGGUCCAGGGGGCCCAGUGCAUCAAAAUGUACUGAAGAUGAUAGGACUCAUUGAACAAUUGGAGAACCUAGGUACUCCACUUGACGGGGAAUUGGCCCAGGACUUCAUUUUGGCUUCUCUUUCUGAUUCAUUCUCGCAGUUCGUUAUGAACUACAAUAUGAAUAAGAUGGAUAGUACUCUCUUUGAGUUACUAAACAUGUUAGUAACUGCCGAGAAGACUAUGAAGAAAGAGAACGUUGUAGGGACUUCUGCAGUAGCCUACAACAAGCCAUCCUCUUCCAAGGCUAAGCCGCAAGGCAAAGGCAAAGGGAAUGAGAAGAAGUCUCCCACUCCUAAGCCGCAAGGAGGAGUGAGGAAAAAGAAGGCAAAUGAGCCCAAAGGGACUUGCCACCACUGUGGAAAUGAGGGGCAUUGGAAGAGGAAUUGCAGGUUAUACCUUGCAACUCUUAAGGACAAGCCACAAGGUAUGGUUUAUGUUCUUAUCUUCAAUUCUAAUUGUUAGAUCUUCUAAAAAUUUAUAUUUUAUAUAAAUGGCUAAUCACUUGUAUAAUUGUAUAUAGGUGGAGGAGCCAAGUAGAAGAGGAACAAGCAAAGAAAAGUGUGGAGAAGGGUUCGGCCACCAUGUUUUUUGCUUACUACUUAGGAAGUUUGUUAGGCAUUUAAAGAUAGUCUUUAAACUUUCUUAUUUUGUUAUGAACUUAUUAAGUGGCUUCAUAUGAUGGAAGACCACUAUUAGUGCCUAAAUGUAUGAAGGUAUUUAAUUAGUCUCUAAAUGUAUAGAGCUAAUUCUUUUUGUAUUAAACAUUAUGAAUGUAUGAAUUAUCAUAUUAAUGUAAUGUGAUGAAUGCCUUCUAAUAUAUUAUUUCCUUAAAGUAGUGUUAUGAAUUGAAUAUUGUCUUGUAGUAUCCUAGUAGAGAUACAAGAAUUAUAUCAGUUAUUGUAAUGUGAUAACCAAACUUUAGACUUAUCUAUUAUGGAUAGAUCUCACGUGUUGGACAUAGAAGGAUACAAUGAAUCUUUAGAUUUGGUUCCAAUUGUCUACUUAUGAGUUCUAUAUGGAUUGACAAAGGUCUAGAAAUUCCUUGAUGAAAAGGAAGAUCACAGUAUAAUGAUAUAAGUAAUAAGAAAAACGUUUCUUAUAUGAUUAUCACUUAAACCACAAUAAUCAAGAUCACUCUUGAUUCAAUUAGUAGUUUUGAACAACUAAUUAGGCAUUCUUAAAAUUGGUUUUAAAAUGUCAAAUGUGUUAGUGAUUAAACCAAGAAAGAAGUGUCUAAAUCUAUAAAAUGUUUAAAGACUUUAGACACUUAAUAACGAGACAUUAACUUAGUGAAGAUUGAAACAAACGAGCUUGAAAGGUUUUAAAGCUACUACACAAUGUCCUCUACCCGUAUGCUCCACGUUUAUACAUUUUGAAUGUAUGAAGUGAUUUCUCAUUAAAGUCAUGAGAAAUAGUGGGAGGUGUGAAAAAUGAUAUAAACUUGAAUAUGAUUGGUUUAUAGUUGUCUAAAGAAUAAUAGUACUUGACUAUUAUUAAGAGUUUGUAAUUUUAAUUGUUAAAGGACUCAAGCUCUUCAAAAGUUAAAAUUCUAUGAUGUGUAACAUUCUAAAGAAUAGUCUUUGAAUGUUGGUUUCGUCAACCUAACAUAAAAUGGUUAUAUGUUGGGAGUUGUCCAUCAUUCUCUUUUAUGAGAACAAGCUAAUAACAAAGCGUAUGGACAAAUUUGAUGAAACAAAAGGGAAUAGUUUUAAAAUGAGUCACAACAUAUGGUUUAACAACAAGACAAUCCAAAUUCAACAUCUCAUGUAACUAUAACGCUCUAUGUAGUUUUGAUAAAAGAAUUAUAUCAACCACCUAGAAGGAAUGGUUGAGUUUCUAUAUCCUUAGUAGGAGCCAUGCUUCCACUAAAGACUUGGAUAAUUCUUAUAUGACUACAUUAAAGGUCUUAGUAUGACUAAAACUUGGAGUAUGGUGUAUGACACCAUAUGAUUUAAAUGAAUAGACUUGAUAAAGCAAGUCACACAUUUCAAAUGGAAUUACUUGAGAAGGAAUUCUUUUGUGUAUGUUCGUUUAAAUAACUUGUGUUAGCUAGCGUUGUUGAUAGUUUCAAAAUUGUUAACAUCAUUAAUAAGCUAAUGGAUCUCAAUGAUUGUCAAUAGAUCCAAGACAAGUUAGUGGGAGCAAUAUGCAUUCAAAUCAAGAAAAUAUAAGUGUUAAGUUUUUGAAUGAAUGCUAAGUUACAACAAGCCUAGUGGGAGUGAUGUCAUAAUUUGAGCAACAAGAUAUGAAUAAAGUCUAUUUGAUAGACUUGAUAAAACAUAGAUGUUACUCGAAAAAAAUGACAAAAUGUGACACGGUCAAUUUUAAAGUAUAGACUUGAAAUUGGACUUAUUGAUAUAACAAGGCUAUUUCAAGGAUGUUAUUUGGGGAAAUUAAAUCUCAAAUGUUGAAGAUUUGAGAAGGUGUUUUCCUAUAUGAUAGAAAAUCACUUUCAUAACCCUUAUAAUGAAUGUGUCAUAAAAUCACAAAAGGGACACAUGUAUGGACUUGUGAGAUGAUAUCCAAAGGUGAAAAGCCACAGGGGUUGUCACUUUAAGAUAUUACUAUAGCACAGGAUCAGAACCAUAGCAACUGAUAGAGUAUUAUUGCCUUUAAGAAAGGAACAUCAGAGUGGGACUCUGGAAGCGUGCAUUCACUUAGGUUAUUAACCAAAGUGAAAAAUAACCCAUUUUAACAAAUGGAACUUCAUAAUAGAUGAAGUACUAAUCAUAUGAAUGUAUUGUUAGUAUUGUACUACAAUGGUCUCAAGGUUGGAGCAAAGUAUGUAUAAAGUAUACAAACGAAAUAUAUGGCGAUAUAUUGUUUUAGAAACUGUUUCAAAAGGUGUUUUGAAUAGAAGGGGUUCUUAUAAUACCAAUGAUUGAAUCCAAACCAUAAGGUCGUUAGUUGGACACUACGACGUAAUGGGGCGAUAGCUCAAGCCAUGGAAUCAAGGUCUCAUCAAAGUAUUUGAACACAAGAAAGAGACAUCAUCAAAUGUUUUAGAAACAUUUGAUAAGUAAAUCCCUUUUAAUUUAUAAAAAGGGAUUAAUACAUAACCAAGUUAACCUACGAGCAUAAGCUCACUCAACUAGUAUCUAUGAGAUACACUAGUGAUUGACUUUAGUGCAAGUGGGAGAUUGUUGGAAAUAUGCCCUGAAAGUCAAUCUUUGGAAGAAACCUUUCAGGACAAUGAAUGGAUGUAUAGAUGAUUCUUGUACAUCAAAUGGAAAAGAUACUAAUUAGGACUAUCUCAACACACGAUAUAUGUCCUAAAUAGUGAAUCCAUGGACAAUGGAUUGAUGGAAGAAGUAAUCUAAUGAUGUUAGACUACAGAGACCUUCUUCACAUAACCAUCAUGUCCAAAAGGUUCCUGGUCAUAGGAUUGUCGGAGGGAUACUGACAAUGCAUAGAUCGGUACAUACUAUGUUCGCUUCAAUUGGAAGGAUGGAAAGUCUCAUCCCAUUUGUGUAGUGACACUAAGACAGGUAUGUAGGUGCUCAUUAAGGGAAUGAGUUCACUGAACACAAUCGAACGAGAGUACUUGCAUGGAGGUCUACUCACAUGUCAAGCAAGUAACUCUAAUGGUUGGAAUAAUGUAAGUAGUCAUUUGACCUGAGGCAUCAUAGUUGUCUUGUGGUUAGGUACUUGAUCUUUAAUUAUGUCAAAGUCACUCCAUCCGCGGGUGUCCGCGGCAUAGUUGGGGUUAAGCCACUUAGUCAUGGAGGCAAGUGAAUGCGCAACAAGGAAUCUCUAAUCCUCGUUAAGAGAGGAUGAAUACUCUAAGAUAUGAUUCGGGAAUCUUCAGCCGAAGUAUCGAGCGUAAUAAAGGAAAGCGUUCCUAUACAACUCAAAUGAAUCAUAUAAGAAGGAAUAAUCACAUUAGGGGUUUGACAUAAUAUAUCCAUACCCUAGUAAUGUGAUUGAGAGUAUUGUUUUAGAGAAUGAUCGAAUUACAUUGUAAUUCCAACUGAAUAGGUUAUCCGAACAAAUUCUACAUUAACUUGGGUAGCCAUGAUAUAUGGUUAGAUGUCACUCAUGACUUGUGAGUUCUUCUAGAUGAUUAAAUGUAGUCGUCAAAGAAGAAGGUGAAUUAAAAGUAAGUUUUAAUUCACUAAGUGAUUGGAUUAAAAAUAAUCAAUUGGAUUGGUGCCAAUCACUUCACUGCCUUGCUAAUUAGAACCUAAAAUGAUUGUUCACCAAUACACUCUUGUAGUGAGUAACUAAUGGAUGAUGGAAGUAAUUAAUUGGAUUAAUUAAGUGUUGUGAUUAAUUAGAAUGUCUAAAGAAAUCAUAAAAGCGAUAAAAUAUCGUUUUGGGCUUAAAGAAAAGUUCGGGUCUAAUUGGGCCCAUUGGGCUUUUAUGCAAGCAUAGGACGACUUGAAAUAAUAAAAGCCCAAAGCCCAAACAACACUAAAGGGGCCGGCCAAAGGAGGGAGAGAGAGAGUCAAAUGUUGACUUGUUUCUUUUUGGUUAUAAAAGGAACUUUAUAGCACAAAGUUUCAUUAGGGUUUUUUGAAGUGUUAAAACAACAAAAGAGAAAAAGAAAAUAUCUCUCUCAACACUCAAAGGGCCGGCCACCAAAGGGGGGUUUAGCUAAUCAUCUUCUCACCCUUUUGGUUAUUCCUUCAUCCUUCUCACUACUCUAGUGGGUGAGGAUCUUUAGAGGUCUUCAACUUUGGAGACUUAAGGAGAACCAAGGAGCACUCAUUCUAACAAAGUGGAGGAGGCAAGGAGGGAGGCUAGGCUCAAGGAGUUCCAACAACAAAGGGCUUGGAGGUGGUCUAUCCUUGGUCUGAAGUCUAGAUCAAGAGGUAUAAAACUACUCCUACACUUUGUUCUUCAAUAAAUUGUUUUUGAUGCAUCAUACAUAAACCUAUGCAUCUUGAAGGGGAUUUGCAUGACUAUAGCUUUGAUAUUAUUUGAUAACAUGCUUCCGUUGCUUUCGUAUAUAAAUUUUGAAUUGUAUAUGCAUGCUAGUCACUAGAAAUCCCACACGAAAUCUCACAAUUUCCUUUUAGAUUGUGCCUUAGCUGAUUUUGGCUUUGAAAUCCAAUUGCAUUAACGCUUUCCCAUCCACCAUUCUCAAUGAGUUGAGGACACUUUUCAGAAGCAUGUCUUUGGAUAGAACACACACCACACAGCAUUGGUCCUUGGAUCUUCAAACGUUCGGCCAUCUGAGACACAAUGGAAGUAAGAUUAGCUAAUUGAGAUUGAAUGUCGGAUGAAUGUCGGAUGUGGAACUUACCUCAUUAACUUGUUGCCGUGGGGUAUCCCUUUGCCUAAUGCCUUCGUAUUAUUGUGCAUUCAAUGCACGGUUUGCAAUGAGUGUUUUGGCUGCCAUGGGUGUCUUAUCUACCAAAGCUCCUCCCGCCGAGGCAUCUAGCAUUUGACGUUCGAUUGGUAGAAGGCCUUCAUAGAAGUAUUGAAGUAGCAACUCUUCCUUCAUUUGAUGUUGUGGGCAAGAAGCAACAAGUGCUUUAAAACGUUCAUAAUAGGUUGGAAAGGAUUCACCUUGGUUUUGUUGGAUGCCACUUAUCCGUUUCCUCAAGAGAAUGACUCUUGAAGUAGGGAAAAAUUUCUCCCAGAACGCUCGUUUCAUACUUUCCCAAGAUGUAACCGUCCCAGGUGCAAGUUCAUACAACCAAUCUUUAGCUUUAUCCAUUAGAGAGAAUGGACAAGCUUUCAUCUUCAAGAUGCUGCCAUCAACGUUAACCGAGGUCAUGCUCGAACAAACCACUUCAAAUUCCUUCAAGUGCUUGUUAGGGUCCUCCAUGGACAGCCUAUGGAACUUUGGGAUGUGGUGCAGCAAGCUAGACUUCAAUUCGAACUCCUCGGUCUUGCCUUGAGCUGCCAUGUGAUAUUAAAUGCAUAAGGGUGCGACAUUGUCCAAUCCCGAAGGCGAAAGCUCCUUGAUUAUUUGGUUGUCGGCUGCCAUGAUUGGUGCUUCCUCAAAAAUCCCAACUGUGCCCCUCUCUUCUUCUUCUAAAACUUGUUCUUCAAGGUCAGGUUCAUGGCUAGGUGGGUUAGACUCUUGUUGGUUCCUCCUUCUUCUCAAAGUUCUCUCAAAAUCGUCGUCAAAGUCCAAAAUAUGCUCACGUACAGGUUGGGAACUUCGAGUCAUACACUAGUACCUAAAAACAAAGAAACAAAACAAAUCAACAACUAAGAUAGAAAACAAACGAAAAUAAAAAGAAUAACGAGGGAUUAGCAAAGUUGCUAAUCCCCGGCAACAACGCCAAAAUUUUGAUGCAAAAUAUAUAAGCACACAAAUUAAACCGUCUUUUUAUCAAUUGUAGUAAAGUAUGUAAGUAGGGAUCGUUCUAGACCGGGGAUUAGGAGGGAUUGCUAAAACACUUGAAACUGACUCAAAAACGUAAAACAAAGUUUAAAACACUAAACUAGACUCAAAGAAUGCAAAACUAAACUCUAAAACACUAAAACAAACCAAAAGACUCAAAACAGCACAAAAACACUCAGAACUGCCUUAAAAACACUUUCUGGGCAGUUUUGAACUCUAACACAAACUUGGACGAAUUUGGGUUAUAACUUGAAUCAAAACACUUAAAAACACAAACUAAAUUGAUUUCUAACUAAUCUAACACUUUAAAAUAAUGGGGCAUUUGGUUUUGACGAAUUUGAAAACAAAGAAAACAGAUUGUAACUAAAACAGAUUUUUAAAACGAAUUUGGAUGAAACUAUGGAUGGAAGGCUAGCUAGAGGGUUCUUCUCCACACACGACACACUUGCACAUAAACCAAUUUUCAGUUGUUCUUUCGAUAAAUCAUGAAACUCAACACCCCAGGUUAAUUAGGUCCGCUUAAAUUAACCUUCAAGUUCUCCUUAAGUUAUUGAAUUGGAUGGGAAAAGGCAUACAAUAAUUCAAAGCAUUCUUCAAAAGUUCUUUACGUGAAAAGCACAAUAAAUAUACAAUCAAAGAUCAUUAAGCAUCAUGAAAACUAUAAGUAUUGACGAGGCAUUUGUUACUAUGAUGAGCAUGAAACUAGUGCCAAGAAUUCAUUUAACGGAAUCGUUUAUAAGCGACCUCCACUACUUGUGAAUAUAAGUUUGUAACUAUUAGGUGAAACUCCCUUAUACUCUAGCAUCAUUUUCAUGCAUGAAAACUAAGCGUGCACUCUUAAUAAACAUACAAAUAAGUUAUCAAUCAAGCAGUUAAACAAAUUAAAUCCACAACUUAUGAAAUCACAACUGAAGGUAAUCAAUUCAUAUUGCAAGUAUCUACAUGGUUUCGAAUCCCCCCUUAACUAAGAGGGGUUUAGUUCCUCAUACUCACAAAACAAAGAUUAGUGAAUUGAAACAUUGAAAGCAAAAGAAAGAUUACCCCUAAAACGUUCCAGCAAUCCUAAAUCGAAUGGCAAGCACGUCCAAGGGCUCUCUUCUUUCCUCUUUGCUGCGGCACAAGGGUUGGUGGUGAGUUUUGGGGGUUAUGGAUGGUGUAGAUGUAUAGAAUUGUGUUUAGGAUGGAUGUAUGGUGCGGCAAGAAGUGUUUGGGUCAGAAACUAUGGAAAUUGGUGAAGGAUGGGCACGGCAAGGAAGGUUGAAUGGUUUCUGGCGUGAAUAGGAGUGAAUGGAUGGUUUUUUACUGCAAAAAGGAAGUUUAUUUAAAGGAUUUCAGAAAUUAAAACCCUAGGUUAUUUAGGUAAACAGAAAUUAAGUCAAAAGCUUAUAGAAAUAGGAAAUCAAAUCAGAAACUUAAAGGAAAUUGACUAAUAUGUGCGGCAAAGGCAUAAAACACAAAAGGAAUGUGUUUUAAUGCAAGGAAAUAGGA
rnacentral:lncRNA from 1 species